GGGCCUAGUGGUGCAUUGAGCUGAGGUCAAUAAUUGCCCACUGGAAACUAUAAAUUAUAGUUCUCACGCCCUCUGUUUUAUGUUUCUAUUUUCAGAGCCUUCCACGCCGGGAGAGGCUAGGGACCGCUGGAAAGGAAUUGCCUCGAGCUAGCUUGCUUCGAGGGACGUGUCGAUAGGUGGUCUACCUCUCGUUGUUUUCUUUUGGAAAGGUUGAGAGUUGUAUCCAUGUAUAGAGACCACCCUUUUGAGUACCUUUUUGGAGAUGGUUAUUGUAUAACUCUAUGUUUUACCUUUAUUGUUUAGUUACGCUUUAUUUACUUUUGUUACAGGUGAUAGAUGUAUACUUGCUCUGAUAUCUCUAGUUAUAGAUCAUCUUUUGGCUUUAUUUUUUGCUGUUAUUAUAGACGCCUUAUAUGUGCUGACAUAUGGCGGGUCUGGGCGCGCUACCGGAAGGGCCUCCGCCGGUCCCGGGACGUGACAGGAUACCCUACCAACUAAGGCUAACAACGACUCGGGAAACCAUCUAUCCCAAUGUUCAUGUUCAAGUGUCACAACCACACUAAGUUCACAUGCAACAUAUUCAUAACUUAGAAAAAUCAUCUAUCCCUAUGUUCAUCAUGUCAUAAGUGUCUCUACUAUACUAGAUUCAUAUGCCACUCAUCUAUGUCAUUACAUAUAGUUCACAUGCCACUCGUUAUGUCAUCGCUUAUACAUCAAGUUCAUCACUUGUUUUCGGCAUUAUAUGAUUUAAUGUCAAGACCCAAUCCUUACACAUCCACUAUGUCAUGUGUCCAUCUCACAAUGCAAUAUCAACUAUGGAAGCAUAUAAGGUAUAGAAAUGCAACUAUCAAUAUCCUACAAUGCAUAAUCAACAUGAAAAGUGCAUGGUCAACAAUGUAACUUAGACAUAGAAAGAAGCUCGAUUGCUUCGAAUAGCACCCCCCACCUCUAAAUAAUGCCGAGGUGCGAGAAUACGAAUCUUGAAAUUUUUAGACGUUGUUUCGGCUUGACCCAACGCAAAUGAAGCCAAAACGGUACUUUUUUCCAAUACCAUGCCACACGCCCGUAGAAACUCCCGUUUGAGUUGCCCACAACGUCGAUUUUAUCUUCAAUUAGGUUUACAAAGGGUCAAUUAACCAUAAACCUCAUAUCCAUGGAAACCCCAAAUCCAACCCUAGGGUUCCCAUAGCAUGAACAACAUGGUUCCAACAUGAGAUUCCAAGGUCUCUCCUAGGUUUUCUUUCAUGUAAGAAGAUCAAAACCAAGUGUUCUAGGGUAUAAAACCAAACCCUAGCAUGGAUCUUACAAGAAACCUCACCUUAGCCUAAAAGUUCUCCAAGCUCCUCCUUGUAGGUGAGCUCCUUGAUCCUCCAAAGCCUCAAAUCCUCUUCAAAUCCUUCUCCAACUUCUCCAAUACACCUUGGGUAGGGAUGCAAAUGGAUCCGGGUUGGUAGAGCUCCGCCCCGAUCCGCCCCGAAUGGGGUGGUAAGUGGGAACAAAAAAUAUAAAAAAAUAUAAUCCGCCCCGAAUCCGCCCCGAUCCGCCAAGUAAAUGGAGCGGGAGGUGGGAGACUCUUUUCUUCCUUCAAUCCGCCUCGAUCCGUCAAAAAUCCGGCUCCCGCCCCGAUCCGCCCCGAAUGGAGCGCCCCGCCCCGAUAAGAAAUGGAGCGGGAGGUAGGGGAACUCUCCCGCCCCCGGAUCCGCCCCGUUUGCAUCCCUAACCUUGGGAGAGAGUUCCUAGAGAGAGAGAGGGAGAGAAAAGAGAGAGGACGGGUGUUCUCAGCUUGUGAACAAGAGAGGAGAAGGUGGGGUCCUUUUAUAUGUCCCAAUAAUUGCAAACAAGCCCUCCAUUUUAUUUUAUUUGCAGUAGAUCAACCCUGCUGUUCAAGGCGCUGCGUACCGUACGCAAGCUCGCGUCACCAGUACGCCACUACGCAGAGGCUAAAGCCGAGAGCUGCUAUUCUCGGGUUGCCUGCCUGGUACCGGUACGCCCUCGUGCUAUCACUGGUACGCAGACCCCUUUUGACCAAACCCGAGAGCAACCUUCUCGGGUUGCCUCCCUGGUACAAGUACCUCUUCCUCAGUAUCGGUACGUAGUGCCCAGAUUGUAGUUUUGGCAAUGCUUUAGCUCCAUUUCGCGCCGAGCAAUACUAAAACUCAAUAGUCUCACUUGGAACUCAACUUUAACCCUUCCAACAUUGUUGGAAUGUCGUAUGGACUAUGUCCAAGCAUCCUUCUCGCCAUACUUUGGUCAUUUUGACCAAAAGUGGUUCAACACGACGAGGAUCCACUAUCUUACAGCCGAUACCGACAAGCCUUCCUUAUAAUGAAACUUGGGACUCUAUGAUUGAAAAGGUGAAAGUUGCUAUAUAUAGGCGUGAAGGAAAGAAAGAAGGCGAGGAAUUGCCAUUUUAUUCCGUUGUGUACAAAAUUUUAAUUGACCGAUGGGCUUAGAGCAAUACUCCACUUCAUUGCUUGGCACAUUCCUUGAAUCCUCGGUAUUUCUUUUUCCCCUAAAUCUCAUAUAUAUUUUGGUUCAUUUGUAUUUUGUAAUACAACUAUCAUAUCCUAAUUUUUAUUUUUGUAUUUAUUAGAUACUAUAGCUCAUCGUGAAUUAAUGAGGAUCCAAAUCGAGUGCCUCCACAUAAGGAUUUGGAGAUAUCAAAGAUGAGAGCCAAGUGCUUAAUUUUUUUUUUCCAAAUAAUGAAGAAAGACGACUUGUAAAUGAGGAAUUUGCAAAUUUUUUCACUACCGGUGAGGGAUUUGAUGAGCAUGACUCAAUUGAAGAAGAUGGGCUCUUGACCAAAUUAAGAAGUGGUGUGUAAGGAAGUGAAUUCUCGAAAUUCGAGAAUUGUACUUCAUCCAGGAUCGACUAACUGUCGAGAGAAUACCCUUUGUCGGAGUUGAAAAUGUCCAAAACACAAAAAGUGCUUUGGAGUUGAGUCCGCCAGAGCAAAUAAGCAAAAAUCUGAACUUGGCAGAUUUUGCUCUCGGGGACCGGUCCUUCCCUCCAAGGACCGGUCCCCGUAGCUGAUGGUCGCAGGGGAAGCCGAUGCGACCGGUCCCUGGCUGAGGGGACCGGUCCCCGUGUGCGACACCCGCGAGAGAAAGCCUAAAUUUGGCUAAGUCCUGAAAGUUUUCCGUUCGGGAACUGGUCUCUCAGGGAAGACCGGUCUCCCAGGGACCAGUCCCGUCUCUCAGGGAAGACCGGUUUCCCAGGGACCAGUCCCUUGGGUGAGGACCGGAUCCCGUGUGCAAUAAGUCCCCAGACUGCAGGGAGGGCUCUCGGGGACCGGUCUCCCCGACCAAGGACCGGUCCCUCUGGGCGAAAACAGCUCAGUGACAGCUACGUGAGAGAUAAAAAGUUGAGGGGUCUAAAUGCAAAAUGGCCUUUAUUAGAGAGGGCUGGGCCCCCUCUCUCCCUCACACUCUCAUAUCUCCUCUCCAUCUCUCUCUCAUUUCUCUCUUGCUCUCUCUCUCUCUAGAAAAGAAGGAGAAGAAGAAGAACAAGAAGGAGAGGAAGGAAAAGAAGGAGAAGAACAAGAAGGAGAAGAAGAAGGAGAUCAAGAGGAAGGCCUUGGACACCUUCAUCUCCCUCUCCUCUUCUCUUUGGUGUAGCACAAGAAGUAAGCUCUUGAACCUUAGUUUCUAGAAUUUGGGGUUUUGAGUUUUUAUGCUUUGGAAUGGGUCAAAUGAACCCUAAGCAUGCUUCUAAGUAGAUGAAUCCCAAGAAUCUAGGGAUUUAUUGGAUGGUUUGCUAUGGGUGCAAACCUAGGGCUCCAAAAUUGGGUUUUUGUGAAAGUAUGAGAUUGAUCUCAUUUGAAGUCUUGGAAACCCAAUUGCUAGGUCACAAAACGUGGGGGCGAAGUCGGUUUUGGCAUUCGGCGAGCCGGCGUGAAGUUCUCAGUAAAAUAGGGCCGUGUUAGCAUUGAUUUGGGCAAGAAGGCUAAAGCCUUUUCGUAAAGUUUGCCGAGAAGGAUUUCCAAAGCCUCUACAUCAAUUAAAGGUGGGGGGUGCCAUCCCGAAGCUUUCGAACUCCUUUCUAUGUCUUAGAUUGCAUUUAAUCUCAUCUCUUACAUGUUGCAUUGUAGGAUUGCAUAGUAGCUCCCUUCCUUAUGCUUUCUAAAUGAUAACCUAGUGUACUUGGAACGCUUGGUGACUUAGAUAGGUGAGGAUUGGGUCGGAACGUGGAUCCUAUGAUGUGAAAGAAAAGAGAUGUACCCGAUGGGGGUGUUGAUGACAUAGAAAGUAGUGUUAAUGUCAAAGAACAAACGAGUGGCAUCCAAAUGUUAAAUAAUGACGAGUGGCAUUAAUGUAGUGUAAAUAACACUAGAGGUUUGAGAACCUAGGGAUAGAUGGAUCCCUUAGAAAAUGCCUUGUGAAUAAAGAACUUAGUAAAUCUAAGUAGCCUCACAUAGAGAGGUUGUCGAUGAGUCGAUUGAGACAUUGACCCUAGUGGUAGGGCAUCCUCACUUGGAGAGGAUUUGAUUAGGUUGUGGACCCUAGUGAUAGUGUUUCCUCACUUGGAGAGGACUCGAUUGGGUAUUGACUUUAGUUGUAUAGCAUCCUCACUUGGAGAGAACUUGAUUGAGUUGUUGACCCUAGAUGUAGAGCAUCCUCACUUAGAGAGGAUAGAUCUAGCUCACAGUCUGCGUUUGGGAUGGUAUAGCCAUCCAAUCCCCACAUGGAGGGGAUUAUUGUCGAGUACUCCAGAGUGUCGCGCGACUAGGAUCACUUGGAGGUCCGGACCACAUGGAGGUCCGCAGACGGUCCCGGGCUUGGGUGCACUUGGAGCUCCCUCCCCACUUUGGGAUUGAAAGGUGAGUUAUAGGCGAGCCCUAGGGCCUUGCCACAGAUUGGGUAAAUGGAAAGGUAAAGGUUUAAUAAUGUCAUUGAACAUUGCUAUACGAACAUGGAUCGAAUUUGUUAGCAUAGUAGCACACCUUUAUUAUAUGAUGUAUGCAUUCAUAUUCAUGAUUAUGGGCAUAGUAGCAUAGUUUUCCUACUAUCGCAUUUAUAGUUUUCAGAUACAUAUCUAUCUAUCUAUCUGUUGUUACUUGUGCCCACUUGGACCUAGUGGGGAGAUCGGCGAAGUCGGCGGCCGAGCCCACUGGGAACUAUGGAAGAUAGUUCUCACCCCACUCUAUUUUCAGUGGUAGGUACAGGACUGCCGAGGGAGGACCACGGCAAGGGCAUCGCGCCCGAUCAAUGAGACCGUGGUAGUAUAGUAGCUUUCCUUUUUGUAUUAGUACACCUAUAUAUUGAGAAAGAUUCAUUGUAGGUGAGGAUUUGGAGAGCUAUGUGUUUUGGAGGUGAAAAAUGUAUUCAUUAAAGAAAAAUAAUGUAAAUGAAAAUGAUGGAACUAUUGUAAUAGUUAGUAAAGUACUCUCUUUAUUUCACAUGCUUUAUCUUGUGGAUUGCUUGCUCUUUGUAUUGUUGGCACUAUUUGUGCCCUUGUGAAUGUAUAUGUUUAGAAUUUAAUUUCCUGGGGAAUUCUUGUACACAUUCUUGUCGUGAGCCUUGGGCGGACAGGGGAGGUGUUGUCCGUUCGGCGGUCUGCUCGGCGCGCCCGAAUCGUGCCAAAUUGGUAGUGGUUUCGGGGCAGGACGUGACAUGGUGGGUCAUUCAUGGUGUGGCAACACCUAUGCUCCAAACUUUAGUCCUAAAGUUACUUGACCAACCUUGCUCCUCUUCAUGUUGCUAGUAGAAUUGGAGUACCCACUAAUUCAUUCAUUCCAUAAAGAGGAAUGAGAUUAUCCACAACGAGCCGAAGAUUUAGUAUAUGUAGAUACUAAUCUUUGCCUUUUAUCAAGGAUGGAUACAUAAUAUAUAUCGGUUAUUUGUAUACACGUCCCUGCAAACAUAGUGAAUUACAGAAAUAUCCCUGCAAAACGGAAAUUCCAUAAGUUGUCCCUGCAAAAGUCCUAAGUUAUGCAGAUAUGUCCCUCUGGUUGAAAUCUGUUAAGAAACUAUUAAUUUUUUAACAGUUUUCUUGUGAAAUGACUUUUUUACGCUCACAAAUAUAUCCCUCUAAAUCUCUUUCCCUUCCCUUUCUCUCCCUCUUUGGGCCACCGGAGUGGACGGCGGCGGCGGCGGCGCGGGGUUAGGUUCGCCGGCGACGAAGAAGAGGGAAGAGAAAGAAGGAGAGGAAGAAGAAGAGGAAGAGGGAGAAGAAGAGGGAAGAGGAAGAGGAAGAGGGUUUGCUCUCACCGUCGCCGCCGCCGCAUCUCCUCCCUCGCCGGCGACGAAGAAGAGGAAGAGGAAGAGGAAGAGGAAGAAGAAAGGCGAAGAGGAAGAAGGAAGAGGGAGAGGAUUCGUCGCCGCCGUCGCCGCCGCAUCUUCUCCCUUGCCGGCGACGAAGAAAAGGGAAAAGGAAGAAGGAGAGGAAGAAGAAGGGGGAAGAGGAAGAGGGAGAGGAAGAGAGAAGAGGAAGAGGUAGAGGGACGCCGUCGAUGCCGCCGUCGCCGUCGCCGCCGCUGCUGCCGUCGCCGUCGACGCCAUCGCCGGCGAGGAAGAAGAUGGAAGGAGAAGAGGAGGAAGAGGAAAAAGGGUAAAACCGUCAAUUUACGUUAUUAAUUAACCAUGGUUAAGUUUUUAACAGUGAUUAACGAAAUUUUUUUAACAGACCUUAACAGUAGGGACAUAUCUACAUAACUUAAGAUUUUUGCAGGGACAACUUAUGGAAUUUUCGUUUUGCAGGGAUAUUUCUACAAUUCACUAUGUUUGCAGGGACGUGUAUGCAAAUAACCCUAAUAUAUAAAAGGAGAGACAAAGAUGUUAGAUGUUGGAGGAGAUUCUUUCGAUACAUUUGAUGAGCCAGAUUUGGAGAGUAUAUUAUUUAUUGAUGAUUCCAAUGAGAAUAAAACUGAACCAAAAUGAAGUCUUUCGAUGAAAACGCUUGUUAGGAUUUGGUUAGAUUUGUAGUUGAUUUCUUUGUUGGAUUAAAAUUAAUAUUUAAAUUUAUUAAAGAUAAAUUUAAGAUUUAAAUAUUAAUUUGAGUAUAAUUCUAGAUAUAUUAAGAUAAGUAUUUAAAUCUAUUAGAGAUAAACUAAAUAUAGAUUUAAAUAUUAUUUAGAGUACGAAUCCUAAUUAUACUAGGAUUAGGGGUAUGUUUUAGUUGAUGCAUUAUAUAAGCAUCACGGUUCUCUUUGAGAAAGAGUACGGCCAAGUUAAUCAAGUUGAAGCUUGAAGAGAUAAGUAGGGCUUAGGCUUGGGAUCCAUAUGUAGAGAAGCUUGGCCAUGAGUUGAUGCACCUAGUGCACAGAUGCAUGUAAGGGAGAAAAAAGAGAGUAGUCUUUUAUAAAAGACGAGAGAAUGAUAGGAGAGAUUCAGAAAGAGGGCUCAGGUUUGAAGCUACUCUAUUACAGAAGAGAAGUCAGGUGUAAUCUUCUCUUAUUUAGUGAAUUUUAUUUUAUCCGUAUAUUUUUGUUUAGUUUUUCUCUUUUUUGUGAUUAUAUCAGCUUUUGCUGAGGAGACGGAUUUAUGGUAAAAAUUCGAUUCAACGCUUCCGUUGUAGAAUCCCAACAAAUGGUACCGGAUCAACAGCAAUUGGAAUCGGAGCGGGUUGCGAUGGGACGAGUACCGAUUUCCUAACAAUCCUCUUCUUUUCUUUCUGUUGCAUGUUUUAGAUGUGGACUAUACAUGCAAGUUGUAAGAUGAAUAUUAUGAUGUUUUGCGGUAUGGUGAAUGACUGAAUGAAAAUACUAUAUUUGUUUUGAUUAGGUAUUUAUUUAUUUCUUAUAUUUCAAUAUGUCAUGAUCUAUGAUCAACAUAAACUUAUUUUUAUAUAUAUUAAAAUAAUAUUUUAUUUAAAUACUCUCGGCUUGUCAUAUCCUAGAGUUUUGGCACAAUGCCGUAUCGUCGUGUCCGUAUCGUGUUGUAUCCGCAUUUUCGUAUCCGUGUCCUUGCAACAUAGGCCGACCCUCUUUGCAAAAGUAACCAUAUUUAAAUGCAAAAUCUUAAAAGGCAAAUGAAACUUCAAACACAUCUAUCAGUUUUUCAAUGUGAAUAAUAUAAAGAUUAUAGUUCUAUUAUAUUCCUAGUUUCAUGAUUUUAUAUCUAAAAUUUUUUGGUACAAAGAUACAUAGCUUACCCCACUUUAAGCACUUUUAUGUGGCGUCAUAGGGUUCUACACAUACACAUUUUUAGUUCCAUCCAUCAUUUUUUUUCUUCAAAACUUUCAAGCGUACCUUUAAAAACCAAACCUAGUAGAUCUAGGUGUUUAUUAUUGAACCACCAUGCCUAUGAAGUGCUGGUUUCCUUCUUGAAAGAGGAGGCCGCGUUUGUGAUCGAAGGAGAGAGGGAAGAGAGGGAAAAAGAAAGAUUGAAAAAAAAAGGCAGAUUUUAGGUUUUAAAAUAUACAUAAAGAGCUAUUUUAAAAUACCCUAUAGUUGUGGGGGCUUUAGAGGAAUUUGUGUUAUUUUUUAUCCUAUAUAGUACUGACUUAAUAUCUAUACAAAUCUAUUAAUCUCCAACGUUUUGAGAUGACGUGGCGCUUUCUCCUUAGAUUAGGGUCUCCUUAGUUUAGGAUUUUUCUUUUCUUUUUUUUUUUCUCUUCUUUUAGUUAUAUUUUUUUUUGAACCGAACCAUGUUUGAAUCCGAAUUUUUCUUCUCUUCUUUCAAUUAUUCCUUUUUGUACCGAACCGAAUCGGUGGUCUACAGGAUUCAUCUGAACAUGGUUCAUCUUCAAUGUGAACCGAACCAACAAGUUCUUUUUUAUAUGAAUUGAACCAACAAGUUAUUUUUUAUAUUUCGUGUUGAACUCAGGUUCUUCAUUGAACCAACUCAUCUUUUUUUAAAAUUUUUUUUGAACUGAACUGGUAUAUUUUGUUAUGUAUUUUGUUUGAAUCUGAUUUUUUUUAUUAUUUCAAUUAUUUUUUUUUUAACCGAACCGAACCAGUGUUCAACAGGAUUCAUCAUGGUUCAUCUUCAAUGUGAGCCGAUCUAAUGUGAUAACCUAUCUAGAGGACCAAAAAUAAACGGCUCGGAUUUAUUUAAGAUUCCUUUUUAGGGAAAUUUCCAAAAAUCAGGGGCGUAGCGCUAGGGAAUUUAGGUAAAUAAUAAAAAAAGAAAAAAAGAAAUAGCGGAGGAAAAGGGCGAGCGAAGGGAGAAGCGGAGGAGAAAGCGCGAUAACCGUCCGACAGAGAGAGAAGGGUAAGAGAGGUCGCAACGGCCGACGCCUCAUGGGUUACCGUUUUUGUCACGCCCGGGGACCGGCGGAGGCCCUCCCGGUAGCGUGCCCAGACCCGCCAUAUGUCAACACAUAUAAGGCGUCUACAGUAAAAGCGGAAGUAAAAGCAAGUAAUAAAACAAGUAGAAGAAGUGAAAUAACUAGCAACUAAUGAUAUCAGAGCAAAUAUAAUUCUAUCAUCUACACCGAGGUGAAGAAGUAAAGCUAGGCAGUAAAAGGAGUCAUAAGAAGUACAAUAUCUGUCUCAAGUGUAUAAAAAUGGUGGUCUCUAGUACACUGGUAAAACACUCAACCUCUCGCAAAAUAAAACAUAAAUCGAGAGGUGGACCACCUAGCGACUCGUCCUCGAAGGAAGCUAGCUCGAAGCAACUCCCUUCCCGCGAUCCCUGGCCUCACCCUGCGUGGAAGGCUCUGAAAAACAUCGAGAAAAAGAGGGCAUGAGAACUAUAAUUUAUAGUUCCCAGUGGGCAAUUACUGACCUCAGCUCAUCGCACCACUAGGCCCCAAAGAAAGGUAAGUACUAUAAGCAAUAAUAAGAGUAAUAGCAACAACAAUACGAAAGCAUAAUUGGAGAGCUAAACCGCUAUAUCUCAAGUAAACAUGAUGUCAUGGUGAUGUACAUCUAUGCUAUCAUAAGGUAAUAUGUCCAAUGCAAAAAGAGUAAGCUCUAACUAAGCAACCGAGUAUACUACAAUGCAACAAUGAAACCGGCAAGUGUGCUAUAUGUACCAAUGCUAUACCAUGAGCAUGUCAAAGUAAUCCAACUACUAACCCUAUCUAGUAGUGAUUAUUCAUUCUCAACACAGUGUCGAUUUCCGUUUCCAAUUAAGAACCUAACCAAGGUAGUCCAGCUUGUGCCGCCUAAGUGCCUGUGGUAGUCCGACAUUCCUACUCUUGGAAUGUGUCUGUCCCACUCGACCCCGUAGGCUUCUCAAUACCGCACGAGCGAACAAAAGUCGCGUAGGCUAACUCCGGAGUGCCGGCUUGUAGGGAGCGACCCUCACAAGCAUGUGCGAAUGAGCANGCCGCCUAAGUGCCUGUGGUAGCCCGACAUUCCUACUCUUGGAAUGUGUCUGUCCCACUCGACCCCGUAGGCUUCUCAAUACCGCACGAGCGAACGUAGUCGCGUAGGCUAACUCCGGAGUGCCGGCUUGUAGGGAGCGACCCUCACAAGCAUGUGCGAAUGAGCACAAAUGGCAAGCAAGCAUAGUACAAGUCUCAAGUAUCCAAUCUCAUGUCUCAAACACGGUAUAGUCACUAGCAUCCCGAAGAUCUAGUUUAAUUCACAAUAUGAAGUUCCAAUGUGCUAAGUCUUGUGCCCCUUUAUGACACUUAGACAUUUUAAUGAACAAGUAUAUCCAACUCUUUCAAUGGCCCUACCCACUAGGAUUACACAUGACCCGAGCCUAAUGCCCCUCCAUGACAUAAGCCCAACUAUUCACAAAUAACACAAGUCCCCGAGCCUCUUUAUGGCCUACCAAGAACCUUCAAGUUCAAUAUAGGAAUAGUCCUUAAAUGCAUGCAAGAGGUGCUCAUUUUCACAAUAGAAGUCAUGAUUCCAAGUCUAGAAAAGGAUGCCAAAUGUGUGCAAGUACUACAUGCUAGUUCUCUACUAUAUAGAGGUCCGAAUUUCCUUACACAUAACAUAGGCAUAUUAAACAUUCUAAAAUUCACAAUAAAUAUAUCUAACAUGAUUACGCAUGCUUUUUCAAUUUACGAAACAUAUUUCACCAUAUAUGAGCAUUUCUCAUAUAAAGGCUAGGUCAAACCCACCGAACCGUCGCGUAGAGUCUCGAUUCGCCGAACAAAGUUGUCCCCGAGUCUCAAAAUACCCUAAAAGUGAUCAGCGAAGAGAUACGAGAGUAUUACGACCAACCGUAAGAUCACACAUUAACCUAGAAGCAAAAAGGGUCAACACUUACCUCAAGAGUAGAAAUCUCUCCCAAAGCUCCGAAAGAGAGCUAGAACCCUUCCAAUCCAAGCCCUAGGAAGGUUCUAAACCAAUCAAUUUAACCCCAAAAGCCCUAGAUCAAAAAUGCCCAAAAAUAAGCCCUAAUUAUCAAAUCUAGGGUUUCAUCUCAAAAAAAUCACAAAAACAAGAAUCUAGAGGAGGGAAACAUGAUACUAACCCUUUGGAAGCUUCAAUCCAAGCCCAAAAUGCCCUAGGGUUGAAGUUUGGUCCACCACCAAGCUCCAAAGGCAAGCUCCAAGCCUUGCAAAGGUGGAAAAGAGAGAAAGGGGUUGAGCUCCAAGCUCCCUCAAGCUAGCUCCUCUUCUUCUCCUCCUCCUUCUUCUUCUUCUUCUUCUCUCUCUAGAAAGUGUUGGGAGGGGGUGAGAAUGAGGAAAUGAGAGAGGGAAGAGGAGGAAAUGGCUAAUAAGCCCAUCUAAUGUAACAAAAUCCAGCUAGGCCCUCCAAAAAACCAAUAUUGCAUCAGCCCGGUCUGGGCAGUUUUCGCCCAAAGGGACCGGUCUCUCCCCAGCAGGGACCGGUCUCUCGCUGCGAACCCGAAAAACCAGCGUUCGGGAACCGGUCUCUCCCUGUGCGGGACCGGUCUCUCACUGCGAAGACGCGUUCGGGAACCGGUCUCGCCUGCCAGGGACCGGUUGCCUCAGGCUGCCUCAACACUGCUCACUGGGGGGACCGGUCUCUCCUUCCAGGGACCGGUCCCCGAGAGUAAAAACUCUCAGGACUUGUCCAGAAUUCUAGUUUUCGAACUUUUCGAGUCGGGGAACAUCUACAACCCUCCACCAAGUGUGGAAAAGCUCGAAAUACAUCCAAACACUCGAACCUCGCAAUUAGCAAAGGUCCAGUGUGUUACAGUUUUGCUCCUGAAGAAGCUGGUUCAGUAAGAACCCUAUUCAUCUUCAUCUUCAUCAUCAAUAACAACCCUCUUCAAUGUUGCCGUUUUUUGUGUGAGAUAUAAUUGGGAGAAGAUGGAGACGUGGAAGGUUACCGGAAGAAGAAGAGAUUCAUCUUCUUUAUCCGUGUCACGCCCCGGGGUCCUUUUUAGUUUAAAUGCAUAGCGGAAGCGUCCUUCUUUUUUUUUUGAAAACCUGACCCCCAUGGUAUGCCAGAUCCGCCACAAAUAUAGGGAGUCUACUGUUCACACGGACAGAGUCUCCCCUGUAUUUGCACGGCGUCGCACAAGUACACGACAUAUAACCAGGAUACAACCACUACAAAUGAAUAUACAACAUUCAAUCAUUUAUACAUUCAUACACCAUUCACAACAGAUUUACAUUUAGAGUUUAAUCAUAAAUCCACGAAAACCUUUUUAAAUCUAUUUCCCACACGGAAACCUUUUUCUUUAAACGCUACCACGAGGGGUAGAAAACCAUUUCCAAUUCUUUACAUGAAAACCACGAGUGUUUUAUUUAACUUCACAAAACCAUGUGUAUAUAUAUCCAAGUAAACAAAACCAACUGAACCAUAUGUCUAAGAUAUAUCAACAGAAGUAAAGAGGGUAGUAACUAAACCAACAAACCGGGUCGGAAGCUCUAUCGACUGCUACGAAUGUGUCUCAUGUCUCGUCUCAACCCUCACCGCCCGCAAUACUUGAAAAAUGGUGGGGGAGGUGAGAACAUGUAAACAUGUCUCCCCUCCCAGUGGGUACCGCAAGUCGACGAAGGCGAGGAGUAUUUACCGAAUCGGGAAGAGAUAAACAAGGUCAUGAGCAGAUAUAACAAAUAUAGUAGCCAUAAACUGAAAGGAAAUAGAACAAUAACAUAAUAUAUAACUACCGCUACUGUAGAGAAGAAAUGAAUGCAUACAUGGAUAUCAAAACUAUAGUAGCAAGACAAGUAUAAAGAAAGAGCUGUAAGUAUGCAUGUAACAACCGCUACUAUAGCCAUAUGCGUCAACCAGACGAAUAGUCAAAGUAUACCCAAUCAAAAACCUGGCCAUAUUGGUCCGCACACCUCAGGCCUGUGCCACUGCCACUCUAUCUAUAUAUAACCCUAGCGUAAGCUCCUGGGUCUGAAAGGCAUAUGACCCUAGCAUAAAGCUCUUGGGCCUGAAAGCGUACAACCCUAGCAUAAAGCUCCUGGGUCUGAAAGCAUACAACCCUAGCAUAAAGCUCAAAGGCGAUACGAAAUUUGAUUUUUCCCUGGAGCUCCGUACUGUGCAUGCGUAAAGUGCUUGUGGCCGCCAAACCGGUAACAUCCCCCCACAAGAAAACGGCUUUUCACCAACCCUCACGGUUAGGCACUUGAGUCCUUNNNNNNNNNNNNNNNNNNNNNNNNNNNNNNNNNNNNNNNNNNNNNNNNNNNNNNNNNNNNNNNNNNNNNNNNNNNNNNNNNNNNNNNNNNNNNNNNNNNNNNNNNNNNNNNNNNNNNNNNNNNNNNNNNNNNNNNNNNNNNNNNNNNNNNNNNNNNNNNNNNNNNNNNNNNNNNNNNNNNNNNNNNNNNNNNNNNNNNNNNNNNNNNNNNNNNNNNNNNNNNNNNNNNNNNNNNNNNNNNNNNNNNNNNNNNNNNNNNNNNNNNNNNNNNNNNNNNNNNNNNNNNNNNNNNNNNNNNNNNNNNNNNNNNNNNNNNNNNNNNNNNNNNNNNNNNNNNNNNNNNNNNNNNNNNNNNNNNNNNNNNNNNNNNNNNNNNNNNNNNNNNNNNNNNNNNNNNNNNNNNNNNNNNNNNNNNNNNNNNNNNNNNNNNNNNNNNNNNNNNNNNNNNNNNNNNNNNNNNNNNNNNNNNNNNNNNNNNNNNNNNNNNNNNNNNNNNNNNNNNNNNNNNNNNNNNNNNNNNNNNNNNNNNNNNNNNNNNNNNNNNNNNNNNNNNNNNNNNNNNNNNNNNNNNNNNNNNNNNNNNNNNNNNNNNNNNNNNNNNNNNNNNNNNNNNNNNNNNNNNNNNNNNNNNNNNNNNNNNNNNNNNNNNNNNNNNNNNNNNNNNNNNNNNNNNNNNNNNNNNNNNNNNNNNNNNNNNNNNNNNNNNNNNNNNNNNNNNNNNNNNNNNNNNNNNNNNNNNNNNNNNNNNNNNNNNNNNNNNNNNNNNNNNNNNNNNNNNNNNNNNNNNNNNNNNNNNNNNNNNNNNNNNNNNNNNNNNNNNNNNNNNNNNNNNNNNNNNNNNNNNNNNNNNNNNNNNNNNNNNNNNNNNNNNNNNNNNNNNNNNNNNNNNNNNNNNNNNNNNNNNNNNNNNNNNNNNNNNNNNNNNNNNNNNNNNNNNNNNNNNNNNNNNNNNNNNNNNNNNNNNNNNNNNNNNNNNNNNNNNNNNNNNNNNNNNNNNNNNNNNNNNNNNNNNNNNNNNNNNNNNNNNNNNNNNNNNNNNNNNNNNNNNNNNNNNNNNNNNNNNNNNNNNNNNNNNNNNNNNNNNNNNNNNNNNNNNNNNNNNNNNNNNNNNNNNNNNNNNNNNNNNNNNNNNNNNNNNNNNNNNNNNNNNNNNNNNNNNNNNNNNNNNNNNNNNNNNNNNNNNNNNNNNNNNNNNNNNNNNNNNNNNNNNNNNNNNNNNNNNNNNNNNNNNNNNNNNNNNNNNNNNNNNNNNNNNNNNNNNNNNNNNNNNNNNNNNNNNNNNNNNNNNNNNNNNNNNNNNNNNNNNNNNNNNNNNNNNNNNNNNNNNNNNNNNNNNNNNNNNNNNNNNNNNNNNNNNNNNNNNNNNNNNNNNNNNNNNNNNNNNNNNNNNNNNNNNNNNNNNNNNNNNNNNNNNNNNNNNNNNNNNNNNNNNNNNNNNNNNNNNNNNNNNNNNNNNNNNNNNNNNNNNNNNNNNNNNNNNNNNNNNNNNNNNNNNNNNNNNNNNNNNNNNNNNNNNNNNNNNNNNNNNNNNNNNNNNNNNNNNNNNNNNNNNNNNNNNNNNNNNNNNNNNNNNNNNNNNNNNNNNNNNNNNNNNNNNNNNNNNNNNNNNNNNNNNNNNNNNNNNNNNNNNNNNNNNNNNNNNNNNNNNNNNNNNNNNNNNNNNNNNNNNNNNNNNNNNNNNNNNNNNNNNNNNNNNNNNNNNNNNNNNNNNNNNNNNNNNNNNNNNNNNNNNNNNNNNNNNNNNNNNNNNNNNNNNNNNNNNNNNNNNNNNNNNNNNNNNNNNNNNNNNNNNNNNNNNNNNNNNNNNNNNNNNNNNNNNNNNNNNNNNNNNCCCUGAUGGGCAGGGACCGGUUCCCGAACGUUGGCUUGGCGAGACUUAGCCAAAUUUGGCUAAGUCCCGAGAAUGCAGCUCUCGGGAACCGGUCUCUCGGACAAGGACCGGUCUCCCGGGGACCGGUCUCUUAGGCAAGGACCGGUUCCCGAACGCGAAAUCCCCUCUGCUCGAAAUGGCAGCUUUCGGGGACCGGUCUCCCCGAGCUGGGACCGGUCCCUCCGCGCGAAAACUGCCCAGUGAGGGCAGUGCACAAGGGUAAAAGUUGAGGGGCUUUUAUGCAAAAUGGCCUUUAUUAGAGGUGGGGGACCCCUCUCACUCUCUCUCAGCUGCUUUCUCUCUCCCUCUUUCACACUCUUUCCCUUUCUCUCUCUAGGAAAGAAAAGAGAAGAAAGAGAAGAAAGAGAGGAAGGAGAAGAAAGGAAGAAAGAAGAAGAAAGAGAAGGAGAAGACUAAGAAGAAGAAGAAGAAGAAGAUAUCUUCUUCUCUCCCUCUCCCUCAAGCUUGAAGGAGUCUUGAAGAGAGGUAAGCUCUAAACCCUUUAAUGGUGUUUCUAGGGUUUUGGGUUUUUAGGGUUUAGAAUUGGUUCAAAUGGAACCUAUUGGGAAUAAAUGGAAGGUUCGAGCUCGAAAUCGAAGCUCGCACCACGGAUUUCUCCGUUGUUGAGAUCUAGGGUUUGGAAUUGGGGUUUUGGGAAAUCUAGGGUUUUGAUCUAAUUAGUCGGGUCGCUAACCUAAUUGCUAGGUCUCUGAACGCGUCGGCGAAGACGGUUUGCCGAUCCGACGAACGAGUGCGGAGUUAUCGCCGAAUCGGGUACUCGAGGGCUCGCUUUGCCCCGAGGAGUUUAGGCGGCGUGCAAGAACCGCAACGUCGAGCUUUCUAUUGUCGCGGCAUCGCCAAGAGGUGGGUGGUGUCCAUCCCGAAGCAUUUGGGCUCCCUUCUAUGUCUUAGUACAUGUCGAUUCUGCAUCUUGUAUUAUUGCAUUAUAGGAUUAUCAUGCAUUGCCUUUCCUUAUGCCAUCCUUGAUGAUAUCGUAGCGUACAUUGGAUAUUUGAUAUAUUGGAUUAAUAAGGAUUGGGUCUAGAUUGUGAAUCCUAUAAUGUAAAGGAAAUGAUGAACUAUGAAUGAGUGGCAUCUAGUCAAUAGUAAACCAUGAACGAGCGGCAUCUAGUCGAUAGCGAACAAACGGACAAUCUAGUUAAUAGUGUAUGUGACACCUAUGAACUAUAUGAUGAUUGUGACUCUAGAGGACAGGGUAUCCUCGAGCUUAGAGGAUUGGAUCAUGCUCACGGUCUGUUAAAUCUUGUGAUGGAAGCCCCACACAAGUAGUGCGCUCCGGAUGUUGGUCACGCCAGGGAUUGCCUAUAUGGCCCCGCAAGACGGUCUCGGGUCCGUAGUGUGAGUUGAUUCUCCCUACGCGUCGAGAUGGCUAGUGAGCUGUAGGCGAGCCUUCGGGUAAGCCAUGAGAUUAAUGAACAAGUAAAUGAUGUUAUUGAACGAGUGAAUAGCUUCACCUUUGGACAUGAUGACAGGUUAGCUGCUUGCCAAUUCAUUGGACAUGCAUUCAUACAUUUAUGAUUGGGCAUAGUAGAAUAGCUUCAUUUCCGUCAUUUACAGCUCCUUAUCUAUAUAUAUCUAUCUGUCUAUCCAUCUAUUGGUAUAUCUACUUGUGCCCGCUUGGACCUAGUGGGGAGAUCGGCGGAGUCGGCGGCCGAACCCACUGGGAACUAAGGAAGUUAGUUCUCACCCCCAUUUUUNNNNNNNNNNNNNNNNNNNNNNNNNNNNNNNNNNNNNNNNNNNNNNNNNNNNNNNNNNNNNNNNNNNNNNNNNNNNNNNNNNNNNNNNNNNNNNNNNNNNGACAUAUGGCGGGUCUGGGCACGCGCCGGGCGGGCUUCCGCUGGGUCCCGGGGCAUGACAGAUUUUCAAAGUUAAGCUAGUCCAGCCAAAAUAUAAGAGCUUGUUUCCUGCGACAGAUUUUCAACGCUCCAAAUAAAAUCAAUCACUGGGCAAUCAAACUUCAACACAAAAUUAGCAUCAAUUUUCUUAUCAUGCUUUGUGCUUACGCCAAACAAAGCUUUGUCCAUACAGCUAGAUGAUAUUUGCACAAAAAAUCAAGGUCAUCAUCUAAUUAAAGAUCAUGCAUGCCAAAAGUGACUCAAAAAACUUGGCAAUUGGUCUUGAUUCUGGGGAUGAAUUUUUAUCUUACGAAUUUCUUUUGAUUUCGCCAUAGGGAUCUACAAUAACAUCAUGCUAAAUGUAAAUUCAUCCUAUAUAUCAAUCUUGAAAAUAGUGUGUUCAGUGCAUCUUUGACUACCUUAAAAUUGGAUGAAAGCACAAAACAAUUUAAUUUAAAGCGUAACGAGGCAUAAACAAACUUUUGCAAUCAAAAUUGAAACGGCUAAGCCCCAUAUCAGAUCGAAAACUGCAAAGCAAAUGAAAGGCAAUAAGCAUGAUAUUCAGAAAAAGAUGAUCAACAGUGCCUUAAAGACACGAUUGAUCAACCAUCAAACCAAAUAGUUCUAAAUCUAAAACUUUAAUGUUACUCAACCAAGGCCGCAUUAACAACACAAUUAAAAGACUCUGACUCCGCAAAUGGGGGCGGAAAUCAAAUAAAAUCAUAUCCGAUCAACAAUCAAGCAAAUUAUACAUCUUUAAGCUGACGCAAAGAAAAUGAGUAUUUGCAAAUCAUCUUUAAUUCUAUGAUGGGUAUGAGAAUGAGGGUUUAACGAAGAGUUCGCCAGUCGAAGGAUCGAAGGAGGCCUCUAUUUCGGUGUAGCAUGAAGCUACAUUGACCACCACUGGCUUGCUGAUAAGCUGUACCCCUUGUUUCCGGUGUCUAUUAACUGAUACCAACCACAUUGGAGCAUGAAAAAGGUUUAGAACAGAUUAAAAAAGUUAACACACGAUCAAAUCUUGGUCUGUAAGAAUACUAAAUAAGAUGCAAUUUACCAAGAUCAAAAUGCUCCACAUUGAUUGAUUUUGUAGUUAUUGAUGCUAACCUAGUCCGGUUGAUAUAGAAAUGGAAUUUCUUUCAUCGAUUAGCCAAUCAAUCCAAAGAGCAAAGCCAUGGCAUGUUCCUGGAGUAGAAAAUUCAAUCUGCUUGACAAUAAUGUGAAAAAGAAAAAGACAAACUCAGAUUUGUUAAAAAUACAAGGAAAAAGUCAUUAGUCAGACAGCUUUUGAGCAAAUCAAAACACCUUGCUGCAAAAGUGAAUGAGAGAAACUAGCGGUUAGAGAGAGAGAGAGAGAGAGAGAGAGAGAGAGAGGUUGGGUGUUAUAUAAAUCAUCAAAAGUUAGAUAGAAAAUGUGCAUCGAAUUAUAAAAUAUACAAAAGGCCUACAAAUACAUCAGAAGUAUAGUACCUCUGUUUUCCCAAAACAGGCAUGAAUUGGUACCGAGAAAUCAAACUCCAUGAUAGAGUAUACAUUACUGAGUUCCUGUUGUGGACAAAACAGAUGAGUCACAUUGAGAGAUUGAAGCAUGGAUAUCUUUACAAUAUUUUUGCAAAAUCUAGUAUUUUAACCUUAAUAUCACCACAUUGCCAUAAAUAGUAAGGCAGGAACGAAUUUUGUAUGCUGUUCAAGUAUAGAUCUUAUCUUUAAAAAUUCUGUUUGAAGACAAUAGUCACAUGAUUAAUAUUUUCGAACUUCAUGACUGAUGUACCUAAAAUGCAACAUGAAAUUUGCAGUAAUUAAAAUUGAAGAGGGGCAACUAAGAUAAGGGCAAAUGAUCGAUCAGUAAACGAGGUUUUGUAAUACAAAUCAGAUUUGUUUCUUUACCAAACAUGAAACAAUGUAGUUUAAUUUGCCAUAUAUACUUACAACCUUUUAAGAUUCUUAGAAUAGCCUAUAGAGCUUGAUCCCUCGAUAUACCCUCUAUUCCAUUUUAAAAUAUGCAUUACAAACAAGAGACUAUAGUAAUCAUCAGCUCCAAUACAAGAUUAGAGUAUUAGAGUCACUAGAGAUGUUCAUGGUGUUUCUUGCGGACAAAAAUAUACAUAUAUAUAAGUGCCUAAAGGUUGAUUACUGUUACUUAUUGCAAAAGUUUGGUGGGUGGCAAAAAAGCAAACAAUACUAGCAAAAAUGUAUUAAAUGAAACUCAUGAUAUCUUAACUAAUUUUAUAUGUAACAAAAGUUAUAAAGUACAGAAGAUUAAAAAGAAAUAAGAAAAUACGCGUAAACAAAAGUUUCGGAACACUUUUGUUUCAUUACCAAAAAAGGCUCUACCUUCAUUGUUCAAAAUAGGGUGAAAAGCAAGCCAAAUUUUUAAGUUAUCUCUGAGAAUGAGAUGGAAAACAUAGCUCCAUGAAAGUCGAAAUAGGGUCCACAAAACUAAAGGUUGUAAAGUUUCUGUUCAGUAUAAAUUUAUGAUGUAGCAACUCAUGCUCUAACAUAAUCAACAAAAUCCAAUUACAGAGAAGCUAGCAGAAUGUAAGCACAGGGGAUAUAAAAGGUUUAGAAAAUUCGGCAUCAUUGAAGAAACUGCAAAAGAUCGAAAGCAAUGAAAAUCGCCAUACCGCAAAUAGUCAAAAUUUACCUCUCUAUGUUUAAUAGUGAUGAUACGUGAAGUAAACGAAACCCCUGAAGACCUUGAAAAUCAUGAAGAGCAGCAGUAAGUACUUAGUAUAGAUUUGAACUUGUGGUAAAAAAACAAACAUUGGAAAGGAGCAGCCACAUAUGGAAAUCGGAAACAUGAAAAACCUCUCAAAAAUUGCAAGUGCAAACACACAGGAUGUCAGGAACAGCCAACCUCCUCUCCCCCACUCCACCUAACACACAUACAAAAUAUUUAGAUUACAUUCCAUCAUGAGCAAUGACAUGUUUGAAGCUGCGAAAAGAAAAUGACGAAAGCUCAAUUCAUCUAAUUUUUUCCUAAUUUGGUUUUUGUCUGAAACAGAGAAGAAAUAAUUCAUUAGCUCAUUGGACAGAAGAUGACGAGGAGCUGCAACAGCAUACAACGCUACGUGUUGUAAUCAAACUACAAGGCCUAAAAAUAACUUGAUAUUAAAUUUUUGAUUGCUUAUUGCUUCCAUAAUCUCAACACGCACAACGCAUUAUCUCAAAAAUUAAGAAAAUAUGAAGAGAAUCAUAAAAACUACGAAGAAAAACUCUCGUACAAAAUGCUCACGACUUACAAAUGGAGAUUGCGCCAUAGCUCAUGUAAUAUACCGAAAAUUCGGAAAAUAAAAAUGUCAAACUUUAGUCAAAUUGACCAAAGUGCGAGGAUGGUACACUUCAGAAAGUCCGAAGGUGUUAAAAUGAGUAAAAGUGAGUUACGGGAGGUUUUCGAGAGCUAUAGAAUCAAAUUCUGCAAAACUGCAGACUUUGAGCUCUCGGGGACCGGUCCCUAGUGGGAGAUACCGGUCCCCGAACGCGUAUGAAAUGAGACAGCCGAAAAAUAGGCUAAGUCCUGAGAAACCAGCUCUCGGGAACCGGUCCCUGACUGAGAGACCGGUCCCCGAGAGACCGGUCCCCCAAGGAGAGACCGGUUGCACUGCGCGCAGCAGCUCUGGCUGCGCUGGGACGACGUUCGAGAACCGGUCCCUGAAGGAGAGACCGGUCCCCGCCUGCGCGAACUGCCCAGUUCGGGCAGUGUAUUAAAGUGAAAGUUGAGGGGUUUAAUAGCAACUUUACAACCCAUAGAGCUAUGUAUGGGGGUAAAUGAGAAAUUUCUCUCAUUUCUCACCCUCUCAAACACUCUCUUCUCUCCCUCUCUCUCUAGAAGGCAAAGGAGAAGAAGAAGAAAGAAAGAAAGGAAGGAAAAGAAGGAAAAGAAGGUGAAGAAGAAGACCAAGAGGUGAAGCAACUUCAUCUUCUUCCUCUCUAGAGCAAGAAAGGAGCAAGCUUAGAGGUAAGCUUUGCCCCUUCUCAUGUUAAAUUCCAAACUAGGGUUUGGAUUAAGCUUAAAAUGGAUUUUAUGGAACCAUUUGAGUAUUUGAAGCUUUUCUUUUGCUUCUUUUGAGAUUAAGACUAUAGAAAUGGUGAAGCUUGAGGUGAGCUUCAUCACCUCUCAUGGUGAAACCCUAAGUAGGGUUUUGCUUUGUUUAAGGAUAGUUCUAAUGGACUUUUUAGAGUAUAAUAAAGCUACUUUUGCUUCCCAAAGAGAUCAAACCCUAGGUUUUGAUAUACAUUGGAGCUAGGGCACCCAAAUUGGGGCUUUUGCUCAUGAAGGUUUCUAAGUGCAAUUGACUCUCUAGAAAUCUAAUUGGGGGUAUUUCCGACGCGUUGGUGCGCUCGGAUUAACGUUACGAAAAGCCGAUGUAAAGUUAUGGGCAAAAUGGCCUAAUAAGGGUUCGUUAUGCCGCAGGUAAAGAACGAUGGGUCUAAAAAUCCUAAGAGAAUCGUCGGAGCACCUAGAUAGACCUACGAGAUGGGUGGUGCUUCUCAAACUUAUUGAACUUCCCUCUAGAAAUCUAAUUGGGGGUAUUUCCGACGCGUUGGUGCGCUCGGAUUAACGUUACGAAAAGCCGAUGUAAAGUUAUGGGCAAAAUGGCCUAAUAAGGGUUCGUUAUGCCGCAGGUAAAGAACGAUGGGUCUAAAAAUCCUAAGAGAAUCGUCGGAGCACCUAGAUAGACCUACGAGAUGGGUGGUGCUUCUCAAACUUAUUGAACUUCCCUCUAUGCCUAAUGUGUCAUUCGAUUGAGCAUAUGUACCUAUAUUGUUGCAUGCAUUUUAGGGUAAAGUAAUGAUAAAAUGUGAUGAUUGCAUGAUUGUGAGUACAACUUGCAUAAUGAGAUGGUUGAGAACCUAAUAAUGUCAAAACCCUAGAUGUAUGCAUGAGAGAAAAUGUGAGUACCCAAAGUGAGCAAAAGAACAGAGUGGCACAAUGACAUAGAUCGAGUGGCAUUCGAAAAUGUAAAGUAACGAGACACUAGAGAUAGUGUGAGGUAAAGAACCAAUGUAAUGUAAAGAAUGCUGAAAAUGAUAAUGCUUAAAGUUAACGCAAUGUGGGAAGUAAAGAACGUGAAAUGCUAGAGGUAGCCAAAAGUAAAGAAUGUAAAGAAUAUAAUUGCUAGAGUUAGCAAAAGUAAAGGACAAUGUAAAGAAUGUGAUUGCAUGAGUUUGCAACAUAAAGUGAUGUAAAGAACACUAGAGCUAGUGUAAAGUCAAGAUUGAACUUAUAAUCCUUUGAGUUAAGGAUAUGAUCAUACUUGCUAUGAGUUCCGUGCUCGAGGGCGGUCGCUCCCCCUCGGGCGAUGCGCUCCGGAGUUAUGCAUCCGGGUUGGAGUAGACCCGUAAGGACGGUCCUAGCUGGUGAGUUCCUGCGAUGAUGGACUUAAUGUGAAGCAAGUUAAUGUGGCGAAACCCCCGGGUUAGCCUUAAUGAUUAAAGAGCAAAGAACAAAGAAUAAAGAACAAAGAGUAAAGUGAAAAGAACUAAAGAACAUGCAUAAUCUGCAUCUAUUAAUGUUGAGCAUAUUCCUUGCUUUUGUUCAGGCAUAUUAGCAUCAUGUUAUAGAUUGGUUACUAUAUUUCAGCUUAUCCUUUCUAUUAUGCCUGAGUUAGUCCUAGUGGGAAAGUCGGUGAUGUUGAGGCCGAACCCACUGGGAACUUUGUUGUAGUUCUCACCCCACUAUUUCCACAGAGCCGGGACCGAGCGAGCCGGCGAGCGACCGAGGUAAAGGUAUCGCGCCUUAGUCAGAGGCCAUCGAAGUUGGGUUACAUUUUGUUAGUAGACACCCUUUUAUCAUCUUUUGUACUUGAUGAUAGUGAUGUAAAGAAAAGAAUGUAAAGCUUAUUUUGAGGUAAAUGUGAUGUAAGAAAGAAAUGAUGAAAUUAUGUAAUGAAAUGCCAAGAAUCCUAAAUGUAAGAGAUGGACGCAAUGUAUAUGAUCUAAAAUGAAUCAUAGUACAAGUGAAUGUUUAGUUUCCUUUUUCUUUCACUAAUGGCUAAUGCUUACCCUCGUGUAAGCCGUUUGUGUAUGUUUCCGCUAGUGCUUUUCUCUAUUGAGGAAAAUGUACAUGUGAUGAGCCUUGGGCGGAUAGGGGAAACUCUGUCCGUUCGGCGUCUGUAUGACGUGCUCGGGUCGGGCCAAAUUGGCGUCGGUCCCGGGGCGUGACAGCUCAGGUCCCACGAGAGACCUAACCCGAUCCACGGCUUUGGUGAUGGAGUUGUCGAGGUUGUCGAUGAUGUGGACGCUGAAACCCUCGUUGAGGAGCUGGAGCACAGUGUGGGUGCCAAUGAACCCGGCGAUGUGGCUGCGCUUGAUCGAGGUGGUCGACGGCGACAUUGCGCCCGUGCACACGGGGCUAGGAAGAUCGGGCGCCGGUGCACGCGAGGUCCACGAAGAUUUAGGAGGAGAGCUCGGAGAGGUGAAGGAGAGAGAUGAGAGAGGAGAGGUGAAGGAGAGGGGGAGAGCUCGAUCGAGGUCGAGCUCCGCGUGGGAGGAGGGGGCGCAAAUGGGGUGGGGGGCGAAUAGGGUUAGGGAGGGAGGUGCGGUUUGUUUUGGAUCGAAUUAGAGUUAGGGUUAGGUUUAUGUUAGUGGUCAAAUAAAUAUAUUUAAUAUAAAAUUAACGGCUAUUAACGGCUAUUUAAACUAAUUGCCGCUAAAACAUAUUGAUAAAAAGUAUUAACGGCUGUCCAAUAAUCGCCGUUAUUAAAUUGCUGCUAAAAGGCAAUUUUGGUGUAGUGCGAGGAUUGAACUAUGAUACCUAAAGUAUAAAGUGGAGACUACUACUAGAAAGUGCAUCCUAGUUGGAUUAGUAGAAAUGCAUGAUAGUGCAUAUUGUGAACUUUAUGUCAUCAUUCUUAGCAUUGACAUCCUGGUGGUAGUAUAUUACACCUAUAUUGUUUGGCAUAAUGUAUGUUAGAAUAGUAAGGAGAUGUCUCGUCACUCUUUGUUGCAUUAUGUACAUCAUGGACAUGCAUGUAAACUAGUAUUGGUAUAUUGUUGAAUGUGCAUGUAAUGGAACAUUAGCAUAUAAAUGAUUAUGCAUGUAAACCGAUAUUGAUAUAUAGUUGAUCAUUGACAAUAGAACAUCAUACACAUGAUAGUAUUUGCUCAGUAGAAGCAUGACUUUGAUAUAAACUCGUUCAAAUCCUUACUUUCAUAUUUGCUUAUGAAUUUACCUUUAUAGCAUGCUUAUGUUAGCCUAGUGUAGCAUUUCGCUGAGAUCAGUAAUUGCCCACUGGAAACUAUUUUUGAUAGUCCUCACACCCUCUUUUUGUUGAUGUUUUUCAGAGCCAUCCGCAUCAGGAGUGGCUAGGGAUCGAGGCAAGGGAUUAGCGGCUAGUUAGAGCCCUACGGAGUUAUUUUAGUUGGGCCUGAUGUCAUCUUUUCUUUUUGUACCUUGAGAAAAGAUGUAUUAUGUAUUUGUUUAGAGCUUUAUGUUAGAUUCUGGAUUUAGUUGCAUACUUUUGUAUCUCUAUUGUGGAUCCCUUUAUGCUAGAAAUUUAGUGAUUUUAUUAUACUCGCUCUAAUAGCCUUUUUAGGACUUCUAUGUUCAUCUUUUGUUUAGUAGACGCCUUGUGUGCAUUGUGUUUGUUGGUGUACACGGCGGGUCUGUGCACGCGCCGGCAGGCUUCCGCUGGGCCCGGGGCGUGACAGCGCCAAACCCGAGCCUCGGUAAAGCGAGGAAUUACACAUGGUAUCGGUACUCUCGCGAUGCUGUAUCGGUACUAGGUCCAGUACCGAUACUCGGGCAAUGCAGUACCAGUACUUUGCCACACAGUGCUCAACCCGAGAGCAGCCCAAAACCUACAGUUUAGCGGAUUUUGGCGGAAGUACUCAUCCUCGCUCCUCGGGACGCGAGUCAUGGGUCGGAACACAGUCAACGACCCUCCAGAAAAUUCGGAAAGACUCAGAACACUUAUCAAAUACUCGAACCUUGCAAUUUGCUAAAGUUUAUUAUGCUACAAAUGAUCUCGUCCUACCCCCGCCACCUUCAUACCAACUUCUUUGCUGUAUCUGCAUCAUGAUGCUUUGUCACCUUUAGCCACUUUACCACCUUUUCCACCUUUGUCCUCAACCUCGCUUUCAAAUCCCGCCUCAUCACUAAUCGACAAUGACAUAGAGGGAGGAGUCAUUGGAGGUGGUAGUAGUGUAAUGGAGGAAGAAAAAUGAGGAAUAAAAAAGAGUAAUGAGUACAACUAUAAAAUAAAAAAUAUUAUUAUAAAUAAGAAAAUGAAAAUAUUCUGCAUUUUUCUAUUGCUUUGUUUUUCUGCAUAACAAAAAAAAAAAAAAAAAAAAAACUAUAUAGUUUAACUUACUGUCAGUGCAAUAUAUAGUCAAAUUGUAUUACAUAUAGUUAAUUAAUUAGUACAAUAAUUUUCUAAAUAUUACACUAUUUAAAAUAUAUUGCACUAUUGGACAGUUUAUUGUAAUACUUAACAAUUUGUUGUACUUAUUAAAUAGUACAAUAUAUAGUUAAAUAGUAUAACAUUUUUAUUAUUUUUAAUUCGAUAAAGAAUAGAGAGAGACAAAGAAAAAGGAGGAAGAGGAGAAGGACAUCGACAUCCUUUCCUCUCCCGCCCUCCUCCUCCACAGCCCGCAUGUCAUCGUUGUAGUCGUCACAUCUCGGUCUCCUUAACCUACGCCUCGCCGCCAUCAAGGGGAACCCCUCCAAGAUCUCACCUUGCGUCUACGAAGGCCGUGGUCGAGGAGAGGAAAGAGAAGUGAGAGAAAGGAGAGGAAGGUGGUGGAGGAGGAGCAGGGGAGGAAGUAGGCGAAAACGUCGUCGAAUGAGGUAAAAGGGAGGAGAAAAAGGAAAGACAUAGGAAUAAAGGCAUUUUGCCUAAAUUUUUAAAAUUUGAAUAGAAUCUACAAAAUCUACAAAAAUGGUUCGGUUUUAUAAAAUACAAAAUUAUUAAAUAUUUUAUACAAGUUGACCUUAUUUGGAAUAAUUAUUAUAAUGAGAAAAACUGUUUAUACGAUAGAGACAUCAAAAUUGAAUCUUGCUUCUUAUAUGAUUUUAAGACAUUCAAAAUUGCCUAAGUAUCAAAAUCCUUUAUAGGGUUAUGUGCAUGAAAACCAACAAUAAUUNUUUGGCAAUUCACUACCUAAGUUGAAAAUCCAUCAAAUGAGCUUAAUAAUAAUCAAAAUGGCUACAUAUCAAAAUCUUAUAGUAGUAAGUGCACCAAAACCAAAUGAAUAUUCAAUCGUUUGAAGAUAACCACCUAAGCUUCAAAAAUUUUAUAUUUACAACCCAAUUUCUUUUUUUUUCUUUUUUUUUUUGGCAAUCAACUAUCUAGGUUUAAAAUCCAUCAAUUUAAAGUAAAUUACAUUACCCAAAAGAUAAAGAAACGUUAAAAUUAAGAUGCAUGCCGACGAUAUUAAUGAAUAUAUCAUAAAUCACUUUUCUGAAUAAAAGUAAUCAUAAUUAUUAUAUUUAUAUUUAAUAAUUAAAUACUAAAAAUAUUUUUUUGUCGUAAGUCUAAUUUUUUAUGUCAAACAGUUUGUUCUGUAUCGUUAGCAUUUAUUUUGGGAUAACUAUAUUUUUUGUAAUCAAACUAUAAGGUACGUAUAUGACACUUUGAUCUCCAAACUUUAAUUUAUUAUAUUAUUUCACUCAAAUAUUUUGUAAUGAAAUUUCACAACCUAAUUUUUUUGACUAAAUAUUAAUAUAUUGCUAAUGUAAAAAGGCCAAUUUGCAUAAAAAAUCCACUUAUUUUGGGCUUUUGCAAAACCGGGCCACCUUUUUCAUUUUUGCAGAUUCGGUCCACUUUUUCCGCCGCCUGACCAAAAUGCCCCUCCUAUACAAUAGCCGCCCGCGUAUUUCUUGACAUACGUAUACUACCCUACUACCCUGCCGUACGGUCUGGCGCGCAUUAAAUGCGCCGCUUCCACCUUACGCUAUCUCGCUCAUUUUUCGGAACCCAAACCACAUCCGCCCCCGCUAUUCGCCGGCCCCGCUGUUUCCUGUUCGUCUUUAAGACUUUACGAAAUUUUCUAAAACUAUUGAGAAUUACUGCGCGCCCCGCAACAGGGAUAAUAGUGCAACGCAAAGUUGCUACGAAAGGAGAAAUGGUGCAACGCCCUCUAUAUCAGUGCAUCCGUAGCCUUGUUCUAGUGCAACCAAUCCAUAGCAGUCAAAAUUUUACUUAUUUUAUUUCUUAAUGUAAUCUUAAGCUAAUAGUGCAAAUGAAUGGGUAUGGUGACGUCGAAUAUAGCGGUGUGGAGUAGGAGGAGGCUCCACCACCUUUUAUUGCCGCCGCCGCCGUGGCGCUAUACCUCCGUGCGCCAGGGAUAAUAGUACAAGGCGAAGGCUCUACGGCAGGACUAAUGGUGGAACGAACCUUCUAACAUGCAACCGUAGUCUUGUUCCAGUGCAACCUCUCUAUAACCAGGCAAAAUUUUACUUAUUUUAUUUCAUAAUGUAAUGUUAAUCUAAUAGUGCAAAUGAAAGGACACGGGGGCCGUCGAUAAUACCGGGGCGGAGUGGGAGGAGGCUCCACGACCUCUUUAUCGUCGCCGCCGCCAUGUCGGCUUUAAGACUUUACGAAAUUUUCCGAGUAAAAGUUCAACUGACUUUAGGAGCCCAAAGAAUAAGAAGAAGAAUUGGAAAAGAAAAUACAAACCCAUGAAUCAGAGAUGAAUUCCUUAUUAACGUUUCCCAGGCUAGGUGAUAACAUGAACAUAAAAGUACAAAAAAGUCUCAAAUUAAUAUUAUAAUAUGAAGUAAACAGUGCAACGUGAAGGAGCUACGAAACUCAAUCGGGCAUUCUUUUAUAGGAGCUACGAAAGGAGCUAAUAUAGUCAAACCUACAAUUGAGUUUUCCUAUAAUAGUGCAACGAGAGGGAGCAAGGAAAAAGGAGAAAUGGUGCAACCGCCUCUAUAACAGUGCAUACGUAGCUUCGUUCCAGUGCAACAAAUCCAUAACAGUCAUUACUUAUUUUAUUUCUUAAUGUAAUCUUAAGCUAAUAGUGCAAAUGAAAGGACACGGUGACGUCGAAUAUAGUGGUGUGGAGUAGGAGGCGGCUCCAACACCUCUUUAUUGCCGCCACCGCCGUGGCGCUAUACCUCCGCGCGCCAAGGAUAAUAGUUCAAUUCCUUAUUAACGUUUCCCAGGCUAGGUGAUAACAUGAACAUAAUAGUGCAAAAAAAUCUAAAAUUAAAAUUAUAAUAUGAAGUAAACAGUGCAACAAUAUUUGGUAAAAAAGAGUUACAUGUAAAUAGUGUAACAAAUUCGUAAGGAGUACAUUAAUCUAUGAACAAGAAUUACAUUAUCCGUAAAGCCGAUUACACGAUUUUAUAGUACUUAAUAAAAUACAAACACGAUUUUAUCACAAUGCAACCUUCUAUUACAUCAACUAUAACAAUCUCUUCAUAAGAUUGAUUAUGUAAUCAUCGAAGUUUAUCUGCAAAUCCACGAUCACAUAGCCGACGCAAACAGGUAUUGGCCAAAGGAGACUGCCGAAGGAGACUGCUAGGAGGAGGAGGAGGCUCGAUCGGAAGGGUACGAUCGAUCCAGCAACGAGGCGUUAAGGUUGAUUUGCACUAUCUGGAAUGUUUCAUUUGCUUUGGGCAAUUUGGAGCUCCGCUCUACCAUGAAACAGACAGUACAGACAGAAAAAUAUUAGAAUCCAACGAUAAGAAUAAAUAUCUGCAAGAAAUUAAGAAACUGUAUGAGAGGAGGGCCAAUGGGCUCCUAGCAAAUAAAACACUCCAGAUAGUGCGAAUCUUCUCUACGUAAAGGCGAGGAGGUUAAAGCAAGGCCAAUAUUUGUGAACGAGUCGAAGGCGACAAACGGCGUUCCCCGUAGGAGGGGAAGCGCUGCUGCGGAGGGGAAGCGCUGCGCUUCCUCUUACCGGGAAUGCCGUUGUCGUCUUCACUUCCUUCACGAACACCACUGUCUCCGUAAUGGGGAAUGCAUCUGAAGAACCGAUAUUUAAACAAAACGAAUCGUCACCUCACCAACCCACCGCUGCCUCUUCGACUGACCUAAUAAAUUAUAAACCUGAUAGCAAACACUAACGUGUACGUUAUAGCGUCUCUUCGGCGCUCGAAGAGACACCGGUGGGUAUAUCGAAACUGUCUCGAGAAGAUAAACCGACUAUUCAGAAGCCGUGUCGAAUUAGCCUCUGUGCGCCAGGGAUAAUAGUGCAACGGGAAUUUUCUACUGCAGUAGAAAUGGUGCAAUGACCGCUAUAACAGUGCAUCCGUAGACUCGUUUCAGUGCAACCUCACUUAACCAGUAAAAAUUUUGAGAUCCUCGUUACACUAUUUUUUAAAUAUGUUGAACUGUUAUCCUCUAUUUUAUACUAUUACAAAAAUUUACAUAUUCAAAUUAUCUAUAUGUUCACUAUUAACAUUAGCCUUGAACUAUUACAAUAAGACGUAUGGAUUUUCCGAUGUUUCCUGCGGUGCGCCCGCGGAUGUCGUCGCGGGCGGCUGGUUUGCUCUAGCCACAGGAGGGUUCUUGCAUGACCUUUUGUUGUGCCCCCAUCUCUGGCAAUUCCGGCACCGCUUCUUUAUUAAGCCGUUAGCAAUAGACUCUCGCCGCGAAACCUUUCUUCUGCCCGGUUGUAUGCGGACGUUUGGCGGCCGCGGCGGAACAACGUUACUUGGUAUUGCAGGCCAUUGCUCUUUGCCUCUGGUGGGGGGGAUGCAAUCGUUGUAGGUUGCACGAUAAGUUAAACCAGUCCUCGACAAAAUCAUACGGAUCCCGUAGCCUAAAUAAAAUUACUGCCAUGGCGUGAUUACAUGGAAUGCCGUCAAUGUCCCAUCGCUUGUAGGAACAUAUCUUUUUGGAAAGAUCCACAACAUCCGUACGGUCGGCUGCAAUUACCUGGAAAACAACAAGCCAGUCCAAAGGAUGGAAAAAAUAGUGUAAUGACUACAUUUAACCGAUUGAUAAGUAGUGUAAGAUACUGACUAAAUGGUGCAAAAUAAACAAUAAUACCUGAAAUAGGACAUCGGUCGAAGGAUUUAGCGUGUAAAAGCGGGACGCUUCCCUUAAGCUCCCUAAUAUCCUUUCUGCAUAGGGUGUUACUACACUGGUAAUAUUCUCCCCAUUUUUUUCCUCUGGUAAAAAUAACAAGCUGUUUUCUUUCGUGUUUCCUCGACGAGGUAGGUAAUUGGAAGGCCCUUUAAAUGUCGAAUUACACUAUUUAUCGUCUCGGCACAGUUGGAAGUGAGCAUUGAAUAACGCCUUCCCAGGAAGCAAUGGGUAGCCCACCUAUGCCGAGGAAGCUUGACCACAUACUUGUACUGUUCGGGGUUCAACUCCUUCAUCUUCUCCAUGUGUUCGUUGAACUUCGCGACAGUGUAUGCACGCGCCGCAGCCUAAAAUCUUCUCCACGCAGGUGUAUUCUUUGGCGCGUGCGGGAGAUUGGUAGACAGGUGGUAAAUGCAAUAACCAUGAGCUGCAUCCGGAAAAACAUCGGAUAUAGCAUCAAUCAAUCCUUUUUGGCGGUCGGAAACAAUAGUAAGUACACUAUUUGCUCUGCUGGAGUCGCGAUCACCGACGACGCCAUCCCGUAACUGUUCAAGAAACCAUUGCCAGGAAUACCGAUUUUCACCUUCAACAACUGCCCACGCCAAUGGCAAUAUGCAGUUAUUCCCAUCAAUACAUGACGCCGUCAGCAGACAACCUCUAAACUUACCAGUUAGGAACGUUCCUGGAAGAAUAAGAAACCGUGUAUAUUAAUGUGUAAUCGUGCAAAAAUUGUAGUACAUUCAUGAAUUUAUUAUAUAAUAGUGCAACAUAGUAAAUUAAUGAUGUGACAGUGGCGUAAUAGUGCACUAACGUACCAUCCAGACCAAUCAGCGGCCUGCAAUGCUUCCUGAACGCUCGAAUCGCUGCACCGAAUGCCCAGAAAAAAUGGUGAAAAUGAUCCUCGUCCUGGUAAAGUAAUUGGAGACAUGUUUGCGCAUCUCCACUCCUCAACUCUUGCAUGUACGAGGGAAGUAGAGCGAACGAGCCCUCGAAAUCGCCGCGCACCUCUUGAAGGACCAAUUCUCUGGCCCGGUAGGCUUUCCAGUAUGAAAUUUUUACGCCGUGCUGCCGAAGAAUCUCGGUCUGAACCAUCUUCGGCGUGUAUUUCUCGUUUGCCACCACCUACCCCCUAACAAAUUCUGCUAUAAAAGCCGCAUCGCAAUUCCUGUGGCCCAAUCCCCAUAUUGCCCUACUACAAGUGUGUUGCGAAUCAAAUUUCUUCACCCACCAUUGAGCAAUUCCUGGUACUUGACGAGCCUUUAUUCUCCAAGGACAAUCUGAGACACGGCAUCGUGUGGUUAUCUUAUGGUCGUUGCAAUUCGUCGGUGCGUACUCAAAACCUCUUUUCAUUGCGUAUGCUUUGAGAGCUCGUUUGAAGUCGCCUUGCGUUUUGUAGAGCUGGCCCUCGUGGACAUCGUCCGCAUCUGCAACGUCACCAACUGACUCCAUCGUACAGUUGUUUACAAUAAGGUCUUCUUCAAGCUUGUCGUCGCGUCAGCAGUAAGUCCCACUGUAUCGCCUUGCCGCAACGGGAGCACAUCCAUGGCGCUGUAUGUCCGAUGAGCUUCGUCAGGAGAAGUCGAGACGAUUCGGAUGCUAACGUCAGAAUCUGUCUCGUCUUUCAGAUCAGCGAUAAUAAAACCGUCGUCACUGUCUGCCGCUUCUUCAUCGUCAAUGAGAAUAGGAUGAGAAGAUCUGCAGCACAAGUGAAAGCAAUGAGUGCAUUGUAAAUAUUAAAUAGUACAAGAACCCUUAAGUGUAAAGUUUAUAUGGUGCAAGAUACACCCGUAAUGAUGCAAAAUACUACGCGAACCAGUGCAGCAUAAAAACAAUUUAUAAUGAAUCAAUUAUGUAAUAGUGCAACCGUAUAAUAUAUAUUGCUUACAUUUGAAAGAGGUAAAAUAUAAUAGUGCAAAAGGCAUUGAGAGUAGUGCAACCGCAUAAAAUAAAAAUGUUACAAGUGCAAUAAGGCUCGGUAAUGGUGCAAAAGAAAUAAUAGUGUAACUUACGAGCCAACUAUUUCAAAACUUGUCUGCUGAGGAGUAGAUGCAUUCCCGGAACACCUGUUAAUCAACAGAUCCAGCUGUUCGUCUGUAAGCAGUUCGUCUAUAUCAUCGAGAUCACAAAUAGCAAUCUUUCUCUCGACUAAGUUACUCACAGCAUAAAGCUCCAUCAGAUAAGCGUAGGUUUUAUAGAGUCUCCGUAUGUUUCCGACAUCGUCGUCGUCAACAAUGUCGAUGAGUUUGCUUAGAUUCCCACUAUAUAUAGCAAAGUUUAAUUUCGAAAUUGCAGGACUCAUGUGAAGUAUUCAUGUACUUGCAGAACAUUGCUUGCAGGGAUUUAAAAUUAUCGCCUUGCUUGAUGAAAUUGAGCCUGCUGGAUCCUCCUACAUAAUUGACAAAGCCUCCUUCCUCCUUAAAACAUCCAUUAAAAUUGAAGUGCACUGGAAUUUCAGUGUUUUCCAUGACUUGUAAGAGUUGGAUACAGGAAAUUAGCUAAAAGUUGUUAUCCAAAAACACUCUUUAUAUAAUAUCAUCCAAUUAAUGUGCAUGAGUUGUUAAGUUGUGAAUGUGGCGGGAAAUAGGAAUUGAGACAGUGGAAUCAUUAGAUUUUAUAUUCCCUUCAGUCCUUGAGACAAUUGCUGCUGCACUUCCAAAUAAUAUAAUUAAAAAAAUCAAAAAGCUAACAGCAAACAUUGGCUCCGGCGAAUAGAAUAUCGUCACCCUAAACCUGAGUUUCCCGCGCUUGCUGCAUUAAUGUCUCUUUAAUGGCUUGCAUUUAAUGCUCUUUCAUAAAACGGCGUUGUUGCGUAUAACGCAUGGGCCUCAGAUAAUUACAGGAUUGUAAGGGAAUUUCGCCUCGGGAAGGUAAGCAACUUUCGAUGUUUGGGAAUGGAAAUAAAAUAGUGUAACAGCUGUAAACAAAUCACCAAUUUCUGCAAUGAAUUGCACUAUUAUGUCUAUUACAUUGCAUCGUUAUUACAUUGCACCGUUAUAAUACAAGAUGAAUUUUUUUAUACCAAUUGUACAAUAAAAUGCACCAUUAUGUUCACUACAUUGCACUGUUACACGGAAUAAAUUGCACUUCUACAAUGAACUGUUCACUACAUUACACUACACGGAAUGAAUUGCACUUUUCGAGUAACAGUGCAAUCCCCUAGACAAACCCUUCGGGGCAUUAAAUGUGGCCCAUGCGCUUCACGCAACAUGGCUCUUUUUCGGAACUCGGACAACAUCCGUUCCGGUAUUCGCCAGCCCCGCUGUUUGCUGUUCAGCUUUAAUAAUUUUAAAUAUGUGAAGCUAAAACAAGACUGAGCGGAGGCAUCCGGGAUAAUAGUGCAACGAGGAGGAGCAAUGCCAGGUGCAAUGAUGUAACUGCCCUUCUAAGCGUGCAUCACUAGGCCCGCUCCAGUGCAAACACCUUGAAGCAAGGAGGGAUAAUAGUUCAACAUUCUUGUAAAUAGUGUAACGAGGAACAUUACAAGUAAAAUUCAAUUCAUUUCUUUAUAACGAAUGUAAGGAGAAUUACAAUAUGUACACCAAUUCGUCUUAGUGUGAAAAAAAUUACAGUACAAAUGAAAGAACUGUAACUCGAAUCAGCCUCGAAUUAUUACGUGUAAAACAGACGCAAGAAUUCUGCUGCUAUCUCGCUGCGUCUCCUCGUCAUAUCCUUCUGGGAGAAGUCCAAGUUCCACCUCUUCUGCAAGUAUUCCUCGUAUGCUAAAAGAAAGAUUGCGCAGUCAUUUGACUGAUCUUGCAUCGGGAUGUCUUCCAUAUUGAUCAUCUCCCAGUCGACGGGACGGGUACCACGGCGCCGAAACAAAUCGGAAAAUUUUUGUUGCAAAUAAUUUCCUAUGAACUUACACUGCAUAAGAAAACAUUGAACUAAUUAGAAAUAUAAAGGGGUAAUGCUGGUACAAUUUCUAAGUAUUAGGAAACACUUACUGCUUUUUCAAACCCCGCGUUGUAUUUAGGGUUUUUAAUGGACGAUAAGUGGAGGUACUUCCCGUCUUGGAGAUCAACAACCAGCAAAUGCCAGUGUUCGAAGUCGAAGAGCGGGAUGAACCAGUACAUCGCCUCACUGGUCCUUCCCUCGGUGAUGUCGUCCAAAAACAUCUCGGGGCUCAUUGCACUCCCUAGGGUCUGAUAGAGGAAGGUCAUGGAGUAUAUGCACCUGUGGCCUUCCGCCUUCUUGAGUAAAUGCUGGUAGCCGUCAAUAACGUCGGAGCUGACGAAGGCCAUGUGACUUGUUAGGUCAACAAAGUCCUUCCUCCCGACGUCAAUACCUUUCGAAGCCACUACUAAUGCGGAGGAGGUGGUGCUUGUCAGGAAUUUUUCAAUUCGCUCCUGAUCCUCCUUCGGUAACUCACCCUUGUCGUAGUACUUUAAAUCCAGGGGCGGUGAAGAUUUUGCGACCUUCAAUUUGAGUGUUUUGGACUUUUUUAUUUUUGAUGUUUCAUCCGAGGAGGCGGGGAUGUCGAUGAUUAUUGGGUGCUGUUUAGCAAACAAUGAAAGAAUGAGAUCGUAAUUACACCAUUGCAGGACAUGCUUACACUAUUAUAAGCUGUAUCGGAUUAAUGAAAUACAUUCGUUGCAAUAUUCACACACCUCUAUAAUGCUGGGUUCUUGCAUAGAAGACUUCGCAGUUUGUGUAGGCGGCUUUGUCGCCGUCGACAGAUGCACCAAGCGUCUCUUCGGGCGAGGCUUGUCCAUUUUUUCAAUGUCCUAUACAAAGAAUUUAAAGUAGUGCAACAAAAAAGGUUAUAUUACACGAAUAGAAAUAUAUUGCAUUAUUUCAAAAGUAUUGAUGUAAUAUAAACUUACACGUUUAUAUGCGCGAGUCGUCUUAGUGUGUAUCGCCGAUAACUCCGAAGCAACCCCCGGCACAAAUUCGAAGUCCUUUUCCUCCACUGCCGUAGUCGCUGCCGCAAUCUCCUUGUCCACCUCGUCCGCCGCAGCUGCCGCCGCCAACACCUUUUCCUUCUCGGCCGCCUCCUCCGCAGCCUCCUCCGCCGCCUUCGCCUCCUCCUUUUCCUCAUCCUCCACCGGUGCUGCAGCCGCCUCCACCUUUUCCUCCGCCACAGCCUCCACUUCUGUCGCCACGCAAGUUACACCCACCGUGUCCGGUUCCGCUGCCUCGGUUGCCGCCGGCUCCUCUUUCGCCGGAACGUCUGUUACCGUCGCCGCCACCGGUGCCCCCGCCGCCGGCACCUCUGGUAGUGAAGAUAACGAGGGCACGUCUUCACAUAUUUGGAUGACGAUGUUAUGCAGCUAAAUUUGUAAAAAUUUAAAAUUGGCGUCAAUUACACUAAUUUUUUAAAAAUUACACUAUUUAAUUACCGUUUAUACUAUUACUUACUUCAUCGUUUUUCAUAAAGGAGUCGCCUGCGAAAAGACCAGCUUUUGGCCGGUCAUAUUCUUCGACAUUUUCUUCAUAUAUAUUGAGUGGCCGAGGCGCCGGCGGGUGGCCGCUCCGUCUCGGCUGCGAAGCCUGCAUACAAAUAAUGCGAUUCUAUGUUACACUACACAGGUCUAUGAUGCACUAUUACAAAGAAAUUUACACAAAUACAGAACUAAAACAAGAAUUUAUUAAUCGAAGUUUGCUACCGUUACAUUAUUAUUGAGAUGAAAUAUACUAAUCAAUCGUAUGUUGAGAACGUAAAAUAAUAAGGGCGUCACAUACGUUGGCGAUUGUGUCGUCGGCGAUUGUGUCGUCGGCUUUAUUCUUUCGUCCCCAGCGAGGUCGGAGAUCGUACGGGCUUCGAAAUCGUUUGCCCCUCCCCAGCGUGCGAUUUUUAAGACACUCCUUGGGAGCCUUUGGCGGACUCUCUAGUUUUUGGCGUGCCCCAUCCUUUCUAGAUUUCGAAGAAGAUCUCGACCGUUCUUUCCCGAUUUCGGGAUUCUCCUUAAUGGCCGAGAUCGGUGCGGGCAUCGCCAAUAUGGACGAUCCUAUCCUUCCUUUUUUAACUCCCUGUGUCGAUCACGUAGAUGAUUUAGACGGUGGGGGUGUUGGUACUUGCACCCCAUCGUACCUCCUCUUCUUGCUUUUGAUAAUUCCAGUAGGUGCUGGGGUGGAUUUUGGUGCUGGUAGGAGUGCCGGAUUGCUCAAUAUGCCGGCAACAGAGGUGGCAAGACUGAACACCACGGCCUCCAGACGGCUAAUUGCCGCCAUCACCUCUUUAUAACCCCCCGGAGGUUCCUCAUUCCUGGGGCGGCGGUGGCGCCUCGGAACUUGAGCCACGACACCCACCAGCCGAAGUUCCUCCGGGGAGAGUUCGAGCCUGCGGCGGCACGUAGUGAAGUUAAAAUCCUCCUUCACUCUCGACGAUCCCCGCGAACGACGAGUCCAUCUAAUCGUAUCCCACCUCUGGACACGAGGAAAUAUUGCACGGCGGGAAGGCAGAGGGCAUCUGUACCCAGUGUGCUCAUAUAUCCACACCUGAUAGCAAAGACAUUAUUACACUAAUAUCAGAACGAUAUUACACUAGAGUUCACACAGUUACUUGAUUUAAGCAUACAAUAGCUUAAUUUGCACUAUUUCAAAAAUGGAUUUGCACGAUUACUUGAACAAUAGACACUUACUGGGAGAAGCGGGGUGCAUCCAAGAACGUAUCCUACCCGCUUAGAAUUAGCUUGCAAUUUAACGGCGGCGGAGCAUAGGCUGUCGAUUAUAAGCCGGUGUACUGCUACCGGCCAAUUGUAGCGUGCCAAUGCGGGGAGAUCAUCGACAAGACCCACCAGUCCUUUGGGACAGAGAUUAUUGGUAUUGGUAAAAAGAAUACAACAAAAAAAGUAAAGAAUAAGUAAUUUGACGAAGUCGGUAAUGUCCUCUUCGUCCUGCUUGGGUGACAUCUCCUUCAAAACCACCUCAAGGUUCUUGCGGUCGGCCCUCUUCCCCUGAAGGAAACGAUUUUGAAUAUCCGACACCGAAGUGAGGCUUAGGUCUAGAGCUUGGCCCGACAGGGGUAAUCCAAGAAGAACUGCCACCUCCUUGGCCGUGAAGCGUAUGACUUGAGGGCCUAUUUCGAAUUCUACACCCUCCUUCCAAUGACGGAGGAUGAACUCCAGCAAUGGCCUAUCUGAGGUGAUGUCGGGGAAGUGUAAGAUAUUACCGAAUAUCGUACUCUCGAUGACGGGAAGAUGAUGCGGCUUCACGACCGACGCGUAAGUCUUUCUGUACGCUCCGACGAAACACCUAGAAUUCACAAUGAAUCUACCGGCGGGGCCGCCGGCAACCGGCCGCGAAGGCGCCUUACGGCCAUCGGCAGACGAUGAAUCAGUAGAUUGCGACGACUUCGAUGCCAUUGCAAGCAAUGUAGAUUUAGAUUGGUCGUGUAUUCGCUGAUGGGAUUCGAAGUGGACGAUGGUGGUUACAAAUAGAAAUGCGGCUGAUAGGGCAAUGACCGACGUAAGGCGGUUUAGAGGCCUUAAAGGAUUAGAAUAGGGUAAUGGAGAGCAACAGGGGUUUGAAAGUUAGUGGGAUGCUAGUAUGGGCCAAACAAUUUUACGAAACAGCGUAAGAGUCCAUACAAAACCUGACACAAUAGCACACCAAGCACCAAACAGCGAGAAUGUGAAAGUUAGUAGCAUUAAAUGUAGCGACAGAUUCGUACAUUGACGUGAUCGUUAUACUCGAGUAAGUAGUGAAGAGGCACUGGCCGGUAAGAGAGAGGAAGAGACACCGGCGACACAUCGAAGUUUUUCGGGAGAAUUCAUCCCGGAUUUAAUCUCUGGUUAAACUUCUUAUUGCACCAUUCUCAACAUACUGUUGAACGUGUAUUAUAAAAUAUAUGGACCAUCAUUAGCCAGUUCUAAAAAUUGUCGACUCGUUGCACCAUUACUUUCAAACCAUUGAUCGAUUACUACGAUAAUAUUACACCAUUACGUGCUGAUUUGAGCUCUUUUACAGCCCGUCGCACUAUUAAUCGCGUUUAACGUUGUAAACUUAAUCGUGUGGUCGUUCACCAAUUAGUGUAAUAAAUUGCCUAAAUGGUGCAACAUCGUCGGAAAUAAGAUUUUCUCUGAAUUUGUUUAUAAUAUGAAUGUAAAAGUGCAACAUCGUCAGGAAUAAUAGUGUAACAUCUGCUGUAAUAGUGUAAUACAGCUAAAAGCGGUGCAAGAAUAGAAUGAAUUAUACAGAUAUAUUUACUAUAAGGCGUAACAAUGUAAAGAAAGGGAUCUCUUUAUUAAUAUACAAGCAAAUUAUACAUUGUCUUUGACGAAAACGCAACAUAUAAUACACGUUUUGCAUACAAUACGAUGUUCACAACAUCAACUGUAACUUUCGCAUCAACAUUAUUAAUGAACAAAAUUAGGCUUUCAUUUUACAAAAGUACUGAAUCAUCAUCAAAGCUAGCCGGCAAAUCCACGAGCACAUAACAUACUCUGAGGUUCCUCUAUCGGAAGAUGAAAUGGCAAAGAGGAGAAGGCUCGCUCGGAGGGGUAUGUCGAGAGCUUUAUUUGCACUAGGGACUUUGGCACUGACGUUUUGGCACUACAUUGUUCGUAAAGAAACAGUAUAGUCAGAAAAAAAUUAGAAUCUAUCGAUAAGAAUAUAGAUCUUGAAGAAUUUAACAACCUGGUAUAGGGUGGUGCCUCGUCGCAAAUAAAGCACAGUACUUCAGAUAAUGCGAAUCAAUCUUAACGCCUCCUUACUGGAUGGUACACUUACGACCGAGCCUCUUCUUCGUCGAAGUCUCCUGCGGCUCUCUCCUCUCGUCUCGUGUACCUCCAUCAUCGCCGUUUCCUCGUCGCCGGUUGCCCAAGUCUCUAGAGAGUGCUUUUUAUAUAUUGUAAUGAAACGAUAAUACAUCUGAAGAACCGUUUUAUAGAAAACGAAAAGGCAUUUGAAGAAUCGAGUCGAGCGACUCCAAGACUGGGAGGUUGCGUAACCAUUUAGGUCACCGACUAUUAAUGCUCGCGAAAUAUUAGUUUUCGUCGUGAACAGAAAGUGGCUAAUGCUGACCUCAAGAGCCGUAUUACUGUAACAUCACUAAAAAAUAUCAAUUAUUCAUUAAAUCGUAUAAUAAUAGUGCAACGAUAGGCUGUAAUAAUAGUGCAACGCCAAGUAACAAAAUGCAAAAAAAGUGCAAUACCGGCGCGAUAUUAGAGUAACAUUCGUCAUAACAGUGCAACGCCCUUACGAUGAAUGAAACUGAAUAAGCCAUAAUUAAACAAAACCAAAAUAUGUUUGAAUAGUCGUUUUUACUUUUCCCGAGGCAGCAUCGAUAUAACCGUCGGUGUCUCCUAUCCUCACACAAGAGACGCUAUAACGUAGACGUUACGCUAUGUACAUUUAGAAGCAUUAAAUGCGCGCUGCGCUAGGAGCGUAUAUCCACGCUAUUCGCUAGACAGCGUGUUUGCUGAUCCAUGAAUCCAUUGCACUAUUAUGGUGACAUAGUUGCACCCUUAUGAACUUAGUUCUACUAUUUUACCCUGCGUUGCACUAUUAACCGCGUUGCGAACCGUUUCCUUUCGCCUCACCGGAGAGACACUAUAACCUACACGUUAUUGUACAUACGCUUCCGCAAGCAUUAAAUGCGCCCCAGCGCGGGAAACCUAAUAUUCCACGCUAUUCGCCACAUCCAGUGUUUGCUGUUUGGAAUCUUCAUCGACGCCUCCGCUUCCUGAAAUCAUUGAACUAUUCUGUCGACCACAUUGCACCAUUACAAUCACAGUUGUAGUCUUUUAACCUACGUUGCACUAUUAAUCGCCGUGCGCGGUCGCACUGUUACACGCUUUAGCGGAGAAUCUUGAACGCUUUUGAUCUGAGUUACACCACUUAAAGCCUUCUUUAAAUAUAAAUAUCAUUUCACCUCACAAUGCGUUGCACUAUUAUCGGCCCGCAAAACCAAGUAAGGUUGUUCCGCCGCGACCGCCAAACGUCCGCAUACAAUCGGGCAGAAGAAAGGUUUCGCGGCGAGAGUCUAUUGCUAACGGCUUAAUAAAGAAGCGGUGCCGGAAUUGCCAGAGAUUGGGGCACAACAAAAGGUCCUGCAAGAACCAUCCUAUUGCUAGAGCAAACCAGCCGCCCGCGACGACAUUCGCGGGCGCACCGCAGGAAACAUCAGAAAAUCCAUAUGUCUUAUUGUAAUAAUUCAAGGCUAAUGUUAAUAGUGAACAUAUAGAUAAUUUGAAUAUGUAAAUUUUGUAAUAGUAUAAAAUAGAGGAUAACAGUUCAACAUAUUUAAAAAAUAGUGUAACGAGGAUCUCAAAAUUUUUACGGGUUAAGUCAGGUUGCACUGAAACUAUGCAACGGAUGCACUGUUAUAGCGAUAAUUGCACCAUUAUACUGCAGUAGACAUUCCCGUUGCACUAUUAUCCCUGGCGCACAGAUGCUAAUUCGACACGGCGUCUAAAUAGUGGGUUUAUCUUCUCGAGACAGUUUCGAUAUACCCACCGGUGUCUAUUCGAGCGCCGAAGAGACGCUAUAACGUACACGUUAGUGUUUGCUAUCAAGUUUAUAAUUUAUUAGAGGUCAGCCGAAGAGGCAGCGGUGGGUUGGUGAGGUGACGAUUCGUUUUGUUUAAAUAUCGGUUCUUCAGAUGCAUUCCCCAUUACGGAGACAGUGGUGUUCGUGAAAGAAGUGAAGACGACAACGUCAUUCCCUGUAAGAGGAAGCGCAGCGCUUCCCCUCCACAGCAGCGCUUCCCCUCUUACGAGGAAGGCCGUUCGUCGCCUUCGACUCGUUCACAAAUAUUGGCCUUGCUUUAACCUCCUCGCCUUUACGUAGAGAAGAUUCGCACUCUCUGGAGUGUUUUAUUUGCUAGGAGCCCAUUGGUCCUCCUCUCAUCUCAUGCAGUUUCUUAAUUUCUUGCACAUAUUUAUUCUUAUCGUUGGAUUCUAAUGUUUUUCUGUCUGUACUGUCUGUUUCAUGGUAGAGCGGAGCUCCAAAUUGCACAAAGCAAAUGAAACAUUCCAGAUAGUGCGAAUCAACCUUAACGUCUUGUUGCUGGAUCGAUUGUACCCUUCCGAUCGAGCCUCCUCCUCCUCCUAGCAGUCUCCUUCGGCAGUCUCCUUCGGCGGUCUCCUUUGGCCAAUACCUGUUUGCGUCGGCUAUGUGAUCGUGGAUUUGCAGAUAAACUUCGAUGAUUACAUAAUCAAUCUUAUGAAGAGAUUGUUAUAGUUGAUGUAAUAGAUGGUUGCAUUGUGAUAAAAUCGUGUUUGUAUUUUAUUAAGUACUAUAAAAUCAUGUAAUCGGCUUUACAGAUAAUGUAAUUCUUGUUCACAGAUUAAUGUACUCCUUACGAAUUUAUUACACUAUUUACAAGUUACUCUUUUUUACCAAAUAUUGUUGCACUGUUUACUUCAUUUUAUAAUAUUAAUUUUAGACUUUUUUCUACUAUUAUGUUCAUGUUUUCACCUAGCCUGGGAAACGUUACUAAGAAAUUGCACUAUUAUGUUAUUGUUAUCAACUAGCCUGGGAAACGUUAAUAUGAAACUGAAGAAGCCAUAUUUAAAUAAAACCAAAAUAUGUUUGAAUAGUCGCUUUUACUUUUCCCGAGGCAGCUUCGAUAUAACCGCCGGUGUCUCCUAUCCUCACAGAAGAGAUGCUAUAACGUAGACGUUAUGCUACGUACUUUUAGAAGCAUUAAAUGCGCGCUGCGCUGGGAGCGUAUAUCCACGCUAUUCGCGAGAACGUGUGUUUGCUUUUCCAUAAAUCCAUUGCACUAUUAUGGUGACAUAGUUGCACCCUUAUGAACUUAGUUCUACUAUUUUACCCUACGUUGCACUAUUAACCGCGUUGCAAACCGUUUUCUUUCGCCUCACCGGAGAGACACUAUAAUAUACACGUUACUGUACAUACGCUUCCGAAAGCAUUAAAUGCGCCCCAGCGCGGGAAACCUAAUAUUCCACGCUAUUCGCCACACCCAGUGUUUGCUGUUUGGAAUCUUCUCCGACGCCUCCGCUUCCUGAAAUCAUUGAACUAUUCUGUCGACCACAUUGCACCAUUACAAUCACCAUUGUAGUCUUUUAACCUACGUUGCACUAUUAAUCGCCGUGCGCGUCGUACGGUUAAUCCCUGUCGCAUUUUAAUGCUAGUGGCAGGCACGAAGAGUGACGUGUACGUUAUAUUCGGUUAAGUGGGGAGAAGGAGGCACCGGCGGGUUUGUCAGCCGACGAUUCGUUUUGUUUAAAUAUCGGUUCUUCGGAUGCAUCUCUCUUUACGGAGACACAACCGUUGGUGAAGGAGGUUAAUCGACAACAGCGUUCCCUGCAAGAGGAAACGCAGCGCAGAAGUACGAAAUGGAGCCUCCUCCUACACUGCCGCGGCUCUUCCUCCUGCCGGGAACGCCGUUCAUCGCCUUCCCAUCCUUGACCAAUAGUUGCGUCGCCUUAAUCUCGUCGCCUUUACGAAGAGAUGAGUCGCCGCAGGCGCCACAACGACUGGUACCAGGCUACAGUUCGUCCAUGACGUUUAGGCAACGACGGUAGAUGGCCGAAGCAGAGUUCGAGGAGUAGGCGGCUCGCUCCGAAGGGAACCGAAGCAGAGUUCGUGGAGUAGGCGGCUCGCUCCGAAGGGUACCAUCCAACAAUGAGGCGUUAAGAUUGAUUCGCACUAUCUGGAGUGCUUUAUUUGCCACGAGCCCAUUGGCCCUCCUCUCAUACAAGUUCUUAAAUUCUUGCAGAUCUUUAUUGUUAUUGAUGGAUUCUUAUGUUAUGCUGAUUGAACUGUCUGUUUCAUGGUAGAGCGGAGCUCCAAAGGGCUUGAGGCAAAUAAAGCACUCCAGAUAUUGCAAAUCAAUCUUAACGCCUCGUUGCUAGAUCUACCCUUCCGAACGACCUUCCUCCUCGUCGCAGUCUCCUUCGGCAGUCUCCUCCUCGCAGUCUCCUCCUCGCAAUCUCCUCCUCGUAGUCUCCUGCGGAAGUCUCCCCUGGCCUAUACCUGUUACCUUAGGCUAUGUGCGCGUGGAAUUGCAGACAAGCUUCGAUGAUUACAUAUUUUUGUUAAAUAAUUAUAUUAUGUUCAGUUUGUUAUAAUUGAUGUAAUAGAAUUUUGCAUUGUAGGCAAAUCCUUUUUGUAUUUUGCAAACUUAUAUAAAAUCGUGUACUCGGCUUUAAAGAAAAUGUAAUUCUUGUUCACCAAUUAAUGUACUCCUUAGAAAUUUGUUACACUAUUUACCAGUUACAAUAUUUACCAAACAAUGUUGCACUGUUUACAUCAUAGUAUAAUAUAAAUUUUGACAAUUUUUGCACUAUUAUGUUCAUGUUAACACCAAUUCUGUGAAAAUUUUGUGCUCAUAUCGUACUGUUACACGCUUUACGGAGAAUCUUGAACUCUUUUGAUCUGAGUUAUACCACUUAAAGACUUCUUUAAAUAUAAAUUUUAUUUCAUCCCACCUUGCGUUGCACUAUUCUCGGCGUUUAAAGUUACAGAAUUUUUAUACGUUGUAUCCACCUCUCCAACGCACCCUUACAUGCUUAGUACGAGUCUUUUUCAAAACAUUGCACUGGUAUUACUACGGUAUUGCACUCUUACAAGUUUCGUUGCACUCGUUUUUAAAUUCAUUACACUGUUAUUUCUCCAUAUUGCACUCUUACAAGCUUCUUUGCAUUCUUUUGAAAAAUAUUAUUCUGUAAUUCACACUGCCUUGCACUAUUAUUCGCGUUUAACUGUAACUUAUUUAACAGUUAAAAAAAUGCGUGAUCUUUUAUAGGAAAACUUUACACAAUCGUUUAGCCGUUAUGUCGCGCCUCUCGAACUCCGAACCCCGCCGGCGACCGUCCAGCCCCGCAGGCGAGCUUCCUGGCGCGCCGACUCUUAUAUCGCACAUCGCCGACCGCGUACGCCGCAGCGACCGUCCUGCGCCGCCGACGCUUCGCCUGCAUUUGGAGGGGACGCCGUUCUUCUGCACUUUUAAGUUCAGAUUAUAUUAAGAAAUAGAAAAGUAAAAUUUUGACUGGUUAAGGAGAGGUUGCCUAGCGAUGCACUGUUAGAAGGGAAGUCGCACCAUUUUUCCUGGUGUUGUACUUUGCGUUGCACUAUUAUCCCUGUUGCGGGCCGUGCAGAUUUUGUCAUUUAUCAUGAGUAAUUGUAUUAAAGUCUUAAAGCCAAACAGGAAACAGCGGGGCCUGCGAAUAGCGGGGGCGGAUGUGGUCCGGGUUCCGAGAAAUGAGCGAGAUAGCGUAAGGCGGAAGCGGCGCAUUUAAUGCGCGUCAGACCGUACGGCAGAGUAGUAGGGUAGUAUACGUAUGUCAAGAAAUACGCGGGCGGCUAUUGUAUAGGAGGGGCAUUUUGGUCAGGCGGCGAAAAAAACAGACCGAAUCUGCAAAAACGAAAAAGGUGGCCCGGUUUUGCAAAAGCCCAAAAUAAGUGGAUUUUUUAUGCAAAUUGGCCAUAUAAAAAUAAUAUAAUAGUACUGUGAUUGCGAUAAUGCGAUAAUAAUUAAGAUAUCUCAUCACUUUUAUAUCAGCGACACAUUAAUAUUGUUGGUGAAAAACUCAAAAUUUUAAAAUUUGAACUUUAUUCUAUUUGAAUUUUUAAAUUAUUUAUUUAUUAUUUUUAUUAUUUAUUAUUUUUAUUAUUUAUUUAUUAUUUUUUAAUUAUUUAUUUUUAUUUUCUUUCUUAAUGAGUAAGAAACUAACGGGAUAUUUUCUCGUUCCUUUUCUUCCACCAAACGGAAUUCCAUUCUCACUCGAUUUCUCGUAACGAGAAAGAGCGGGAAUUCUCUUUUCUAUAUAUUAUCUCUUUUUCUCCCCUGUUAAGUAGGAUAUCAGAUAAUUGGUUAAUCCUUAUUUAUUCAAUAUUUUAUCUUCUAAUAUUUUUUCUUAUUACUGGGUGCUAAAAAAAUCUCCGUCAACCUCCUUCACGAUCGUGCUCGUAAGAGGAGGAAUACCGGUCAUACCUUAGGUGUUAUUUUCGGUUAAUUCCGCACGUAAGGACGGGAAUACGCCUUACACGAAAUCCUCGUGUCCCGGCUCCCGAAAUGUGAUCACUCUAGUCUUGCAGUCGAUAGACACAUAAUACUUCGAGAGCCAGUCCAUGCCUAAAAUGACAUCGAACUCCUUUAGCCUCUUCAGCACCAACAGGUCGACCGGCAUAAUCCAGUCACCUACUUGUACUGGGCACGCCAAACACCGCUUCCUAACAAGGAAGGCUCGUCCGGGUCCUUCUACACGCCACACACUCUCCCCGAGACUAAUCUCAAUACCAUGCACUUGUGCAAACGAUCGGUUAAUGAAGGAGUGAGACGCGCCAGUAUCAAAAAGAGCUCUUGCUCGAANUAGUACUCAGACAUAAAGAGUAGCCCGACUGCUUCGGGAUGGCACUCCCCCACCUCGUGGUGAUGCCGCGACUCUUCGAUUGCAAUUCGCCGACGUUUCGACGCCUCGUUGGCCUUCUAGGCGAAAACGAAGCUCCGAAGGUCUUCUCGGCGAUAACUCCGCACCCACUCGACGGAUCGACGAACCGUCUUCGCCGAUGCGUUCAGAGACCUAGCAAUUAGGUUUGCGACCCAUCAAUUUAGAUCAAAACCCUAAAUUCGCCAAAAUCCCAUUUCUGAGCCCUAGAUCUCAAUACUGGAGAAAUCCACGGUGCGAGCUUCGAUUUCGAGCUCGAACCUUCUCCCUGGCUUCAAUAGAUUCCAUCUGAACCAACUCCAAGCUAUAAAACCCUAACUUACAAAAUCUACCAUUAAAGGGUUUCGAGGUUUACCUCAAUACCAAGCUCCAAGCUUGAAGAGGGAGAGAAGAAGAUGAUCUCCUUCUUCUUCUUCUUAGUCUUCUCCUUCUCUUUCUCCUUCUUUUCCUUCCUCUCCUCCUUCUUCUUUUUCUUCUUCUUCUUUUCUUUUCUAGAGAGAGAGAGGGAAAGGUGUGAGAGAGGGAAAGAGAGCAACUGAGAGGGAGAGAGGGGUCCCCCAACCCUCAUAUAGGCCAUUUUGCAACUAGCCCCCUCAACUUUUCAUUUUCAGAAUCAGCCCUCCCUGGGCCAUUUUCGCGGUGAGGGACCGGUCCCUGCUCGGGGAGACCGGUCCCCGAGAGCUGCCCAACCAGGAAGAGGGAUUUUCGCGUUCGGGAACCGGUCCUUGCCUGAGAGACCGGUCCCCGGGAGACCGGUCCUUGUCCGAGAGACCGGUUCCCGAGAGCAACAUCUUCGGGACUUAGCCAAAUUUCGGCUUCUCUCGCUGGGCCAACGUUCGGGAACCGGUUCCUCCCCACCAGAGACCGGUUGCAUCACAACCUCCCGCCAGCCCAGCCUGAUGGGACCGGUCCUCCCUGCCAGGGACCGGUCCCCGAGAGCAUUUCUACUCCAGUGCAGUUUUCGCACUGGCGCUCUCGCGGACACUUCCUCAAUGCACUUUAUGCAUUAUAACCACCUUCGGACUUUCCGAAGCUUACUCACUCGACAAUCAGUCGACUCCCAAUGAAGUCUAAUCCCCGGAUUCCGAGAAUUCACUUCCCUUACAGUGCAUGACCAUUAACGCGUAGACCCGCGAAGGAGAAUUCUGUACUGUGUGUGUGGUGGUUCAAGUCAGGGUCAUAGGAACGUAGUUCAAGACAUGAUUCACUCCGAUUCUUUCUGAUGGAAACCACUUACACUAAGUAGGGUUAAGUCUCUUAAAGACACCUCACCAUUGCAUAGUAUAAACACCCAGUAAUUCUUUUUUACUUUAAUCUGUAUUUUUAAAAUUUUGAGUUUUGUAGAGGAUUGUUGGUGAAAAACUCAAAAUUUUGAGUUUGAAUUUAUUUUAUUUGAACUUUAAAUUAUUUAUUAUUUAUUAUUUCUUUAAUUAUUUAUUUUCAUUUUCUUUCUUAAUGAGUAAGAAACUAACGGGAUAUUUUUCUGUUCGUUUCUUCCGUUUGUUUCUUCCGCCAAACAAAAUUCCAUUCCGUUGCGCGGGUUCCGCUCUCGUAAUGAGAAAGAGCGAAUUCUCUUUUCUAUAUAUUAUCUCUUUUUCUCCCCUGUUAAGUAAGUAGGAUAUCAGAUUAUUUCCUUUUUUCCCCUGUUAAGUUGGAUAUCAGAUAAUUGGUUAAUCCUUAUCUAUUCAUCAUUUUAUCUUCUAAUUUUUUUUCUUCUCUACUUGGUGCUGAAAGAAUCUCCGUCAACUUCCUUCACGAUCGUGCUCGCAGGAGGAGGAAUACCGGUCGUACCUUGGGUGUUAUUUCCGAUUAAUUCCGCAAGUAAGGACGAGAAUACGUCUUAGGGCAGUGCUUCGCACGCUUCUGGAUAAGAUCAUAUCUUUAUUUGGAUAUUUUGUGUUUAUCUGUAAGUUUGAUUUUAUUUUUAUCACAAAAUUAGUUAGAUUUUAAUCACAAUCAGAUUUUCGUUGUGGUAUUUACCCCAACAAUCUAAGGCGUAUCUUCCAAUCUGAUUGUGAUUAAAAAUCUAACAGGUGCUAAUCUGUUAAUUAAAAAAAAAAAAGUUAAAUAUUUUGGGAUUAGCAUUUAAAUUGUAAAUUGCAUAUAUUUAUAAUUUAAAUUGCAGUAAUUUAUAAAGUUUGAGCCAUGUAUAAAUAAAAGUUUGAUGACUAAAUGUUACAUGCUUCAUAAUUUGGGGACCAAGUAUAAUUUAGCCUAAUGUUUAUCAUUUUUACACCAUUUGCCAAAUGUUAAUCAUUUUAAAUUAGCCAGAAAUUAAAACUAAGUAGUUAAUUGUAAAAUUGAAAGGUUGAAUGAUGAAUGUGAAAUUUUUAAAAUUUAAAUGGCAGUAUCAUAAAGAAACAAAAGUUUCUUUUGUUUCCGUACAUUUGAGCCAAUUUUUAGAGGCAUUGAUCGUCGAAUGUCUGGCGUGAUACACGGGGCGUGCCUGGGCAAGCUCUGAUAUAUAGGCCGACAGUGAGUGCACAGUUUUAACAACGUACAAAUUUAAAUAUAAUACUAAUAUGAUACAUUUGAAUUUAAAUGCAUCCGCAGGGGGGAAAGCUCAAUUAUAUCAAUUAAAACAUUACCCCAACUGGCUGUAAUUUUAACUGCAAUAAUUUUGAGUAACUUUAAACAAAAAUUUAUCUCACCUUUUAAAGAAAAAUACUUCUUUUUAUUUUUUAUGGGGAGUAAUUUCACCGUCCUAUGCAUAAANGCCCGCUUAUCAAAGCAAUGAGCGGCCAAAUUAACCUUGUCCCGCUCCUCAGUAUAGAUAUCCUCGAACAGGGUCUCCAUCGAGGCCAACCAUGUCUCCACCGUCCAAGGAUCUAUCACUUCUCCGUCGAAUGUAGGCGGGUGGAACUUCGUAAACCUUGUGAGAGCCGUGUAGCCACGCUCUCGCUCCGCCUCCUCAGCCGCCGCUCUAGGCGUAGGAGACCUCGACGCCGCAGGAGGAAUAUCCACCGGUGGGGGUUGCGCCGCCACCGGAACCGGCGCAUCACCCACACCCUCGGCCGCAUUGGGGACGCGAACCGAAGGCGCAGGCGGAUCACAGCCAUGUCCAACUGCCGCAGCCGCCGCCGCAGCCUGACGCUCCAUAAGUUCCUGGAGCCGAUCGAACCGCCCUGCUAACGCAGCAACUUGUGCCCGCAACUCCUGCACCUCGCUAGGCCCAGCUGGCUCUGGCGCCGCCGGGGGCACGGCUGACUCGGGCACCCCUGGGGGUGGUGCCGGAGCAGUCCUACGCACGUAGCGUCUCUUUGGUGCCAUUAGCUCCUGGAACGCAAACAAAUGGUCAAUAACUUAACCCCACAACGUCUUCGCAGUUACGAAAUGAUACCACCUAAUUAAACAAAUCCGACGGAAGCUCACGAGUGUACCCGUUCUUAACUCUCGGCAUUGUGUUGUCGGCCGCCAACACAAUCGCCUUAAGCCAAGGACUAGUAUCACUCAAUUUAUCUCUAGUAACCACUAGAGUAUCAACAUCGACUUCGACCCAAUCGAUCAACUUCCGCCACGUCAUAGGUUCACGUCGCACUCACGCACCUAUAACCUUAUGGUUUACCAUCCUAGAGUCUCCUAGGUCAGUCCUAGACUCUCUCUCUUUUGCUUGCUCUUACUCGCUCUGAUACCACAACUGUCACGCCCCCGCCCCGAGGCCGCUACCAAUUUGGCACGGUUCGGGUGCGGCGAACGGACCGCCGAACGGACAGCACCUACCCUGUCUGCCCCAGGCGCCUACAACAAGAUUGUGUACCCCAAGUUCCCAGGAAAACAAACUUGAAUACAUACACAAUCAUUUAACCACCGCGAGAGCACAAUCAGUGCCUGUCAUUCAAGAGCAAGCAACACAUGUAAGGCAUACAAGUGAUAAAAGAGAGAUGUACUUAUCUAUUGAUCCAUUUAACUCUAUACAAUUAUUACAACUUGUAUUCUUCCAAAACUGUACAAUGUAUACACAAUCCUCUCAACCUCACCCUAUACAUCAUCUACGCUCAAACAUAAAUACAGGGUAGGGCUAAUNUGAGCCAUGUAUAAAUAAAAGUUUGAUGACUAAAUGUUACAUGCUUCAUAAUUUGGGGACCAAGUAUAAUUUAGCCUAAUGUUUAUCAUUUUUACACCAUUUGCCAAAUGUUAAUCAUUUUAAAUUAGCCAGAAAUUAAAACUAAGUAGUUAAUUGUAAAAUUGAAAGGUUGAAUGAUGAAUGUGAAAUUUUUAAAAUUUAAAUGGCAGUAUCAUAAAGAAACAAAAGUUUCUUUUGUUUCCGUACAUUUGAGCCAAUUUUUAGAGGCAUUGAUCGUCGAAUGUCUGGCGUGAUACACGGGGCGUGCCUGGGCAAGCUCUGAUAUAUAUAGGCCGACAGUGAGUGCACAGUUUUAACAACAUACAAAUUUAAAUAUAAUACUAAUAUGAUACAUUUGAAUUUAAAUGCAUCCGCAGGGGGGAAAGCUCAAUUAUAUCAAUUAAAACAUUACCCCAACUGGCUGUAAUUUUAACUGCAAUAAUUUUGAGUAACUUUAAACAAAAAUUUAUCUCACCUUUUAAAGAAAAAUACUUCUUUUUAUUUUUUAUGGGGAGUAAUUUCACCGUCCUAUGCAUAAAAGUGAAAAAACUUCGUAAAAAUAAGUUUUCAACUGCUCGUAAUAAAAUAAAUUGUUUAUAUACUAUUUGUUAUCUAUAUCUAAGUAGAUACAAUAUAUAUAACUAGCGCAUUCUAUUCAUACACCAAAAAAUGAGUGUAUAUCUUACACUUUUUUUAUCUGAUGGAUAUGAAUUAUUCACUAGUACUAAUCAUUUGAUGUGACAAAUGAAAACACUUUUCGCCCAUCGAACGGGUGGGGUGUACAAUAUACUCACCGAUUUGCAUGUCCAAGCAGUAUUUAUCAUAUAAUUAUAAUUAGUAUAUUUUUUAUCAAUCUGUAUUAUUAACUAUAUUAUUAUACUUAUACAAAUGGUUUCCUUAACUUGUCUCAAUAAGGACUUUGUUUUUUUGUUUUUUUUUUUUUUUUUGAGUCAAUGUCCCUAAUUGUGAUUUCCUUCUCUCUGCUUCCUUGCUUCACUCCUUCUCGCCCUCUUUUUUUAUGCGCUAGGAAAAGCAAAGCACCACAAACACUAACCUAUGACCGCUCAAAAAGCCAAAACAUGCGCUGGACAACUCUUUAUUAUUAUUAUUAUUAUUAUUAUUAUUAUUAUUAUUAUUCUGCAACACCCGGACGAAUGAAAGGAAGUUAUUGCAACGUAGAUUAUGUGCCAUCUGGUCUAUUUAGGCAAAAAUAACAAUAAUAAUAUAAUAUUACUUCGGCCUAAUUAUAACUCGAUCGUCAUCUAAACUUCAAACAGUUGAACGUUUUUAAAGGCAAAAAGGAACGGUUGACUCGGUACAAUAUACUACUUAUUUUAACUCCCAGCGUACAGAAAAAAUGAUAUGUUAUUUAUAUUUUCUGACAUGCAAUAACAAAUUUUGAAGUUCUGAUUUAUAAUGUAGAUUUAUUACAAGUGGUAAUUUGUAAUUUUGACUUAAAAGUAAUGAUUUCUAAACUAGCACAAAUUCAGAUAUUGGUAUGUUUUCUUUUUAUAGUGUAAUCUGACACGCAUUUACUGAAGCUAUUUUAUAAAAUUGCUAAAGAUUCAUAAAAUAUAGUUAAUUACAACCAAAUUAUUAUCAUAUGGCUAAAUUUCACCUUUGGUAGACCAAAACUAUAUGCGGCAAGUGACAUUUUAGCAGUCAAACUUUAAUUUAUUAUAAUUCUAAAUUAAGCUUUCUUACUUUUGGGCUAGGAACCGAACACGAGGCGAUGCUGACCGGAUCACACCAUUGACCGCAUCAGAUGCUCCCUCGAGAUCUGGAUCGGCUCCUGAAUUGACACUCGAAUGCGUCUCGAUCAAAUCAAAUCACGGGAUCAACUCAACCGGGUUCUAUCUCACUUCACUAAUUAAAGCCGAAAACCUAGGAAAAGAGUAUCCCUCUGAUCGAAGACUCGGUUGGAUGAACUGAAUUGUUUGUAUUAUAGGAAAACUUGAGUUACAAGUAGAGUUAAGGCUACUCUUAGAAAAAGCUGCAAAUAGUAGAAGAGUAAAGAUUACAAGUAACUAUUCCUAGAAAAGUUGUAAAUACUGGAAGAAUAAAGAUUACAAAUAAACUAUUCCUAGAAAAGUUGUAAAUGCUGAAAUUAGAAGUAUAAAAAAUGCAGUGGUCUUCUCGUUCGUAGGGUAAAAAGACCUCUGUUACAAGCUUCGAAAUUAUUAUUUAUAUUAAUAUCUCAUCAGCCUACAUUAUUAGUUGGUUUUAGUAGUGGGAAGAGUGUUGUAACCAUGAUCAUGUAAGUUACACCCCACUUCUCAACCGUUCCCGCCUAAGGUCUCUCAACCUUCAGACGUCUUAUUGUCGGCUCUUGGUAUACCACGUGUCCUUAUUUUUUUGGCUCGUGCGUGGGCCAGGCUAUCUAACUUAUAGCGCGCUAAUUUUUGGCAUUAACAAUUCCUCGUCGAUAGUCUUUUGAAUGAACAUUCGAAUGACUAUUGGUGCCAAAUCAACGGCGCGAUGGCAGUCGAGACCCGAGCUUUAGUCUCACUGGUCUUGGUCGGCUUAAAGAAAGCAUAUUGAUAUGGUUGUCGGCUCUUUACCAUCUCAGCCGCAUACAUUUCGGCUUCAUCAGCCGAUUCUUUAUUUUCACUGGAUUGGCUCGGCUCUUCUUGAUUCGACCAUUCUUCUAUCAAGGAUUUCUCCUUGCCUUUGCUCCAUAUUUUAUUUCGACUCCAUUGUAGCCGAUCAUCCUCAUUUUUCUUUUGAAAUUGCUCAUAUUGGGCAAUCCAAACACCUAGAUCAAGCAGGUUAGGAAAAUACUUAUCUUCGAAAUGAUCCUUUAUCUUAAAAUACAAACCAUUUAAUGUCAUUUUGGCAAACUCAGAUUCCGACAUCCUCAUGAAACACCGGUUUCUGGCUGUUUUGUAACAGUUCAAGUACUCUUUGACCGUUUCAUCUGACUUUUGUCUGUAUAAAGGUAAAUUGGCCACUAAUAAUUUAGGUUCCGAUCGGUAAAACUGUUCAUGAAACUUUCGCUCCAACUCGUCCCAAUCUUGAACAGAAUUGGUGGGUAAGCUUGUGCACUAUAUAAACGCCAUCUUAAUCAACGACGUGUUAAACAUGCGAAAUUUCAAGAAUGGGUCAGCGACCGCUGCUCUAUACUGGGCCAUGAACCAAGCAACAUAUUCUACAAUAUUCUCAGUCUCUUCGCUCGAGUACUUGUCGAAUUUUGACAUCUUCUAGUUUGCUCGAUAGAGGUGCACCACAUCCACAUUUGAGAGGUAUGGAGAUCUAAAUAUUGGCCGCAUAACCAGCCUGACACCGACACCAAUGGUGUUUCGUAUAGCCUCCUCAAUUUGAGCAUAAAGCUCAUUGUUUAUUUCCUCUGGAAUAGAUGCUUGAGCUUGAUUCCCGACUUGUCUAGCUAUGGGCUGAACAUUUGGUGCAACGGGAGUUUGAGAUUGUCCUCUUUUAGGGCCCUGCUGCCUAGCCCUUAAGCCUACAUUUUGAGACAGAAAAGUUGGCAGAGGGGAGGAAAAGGUAGCCCCCAAGCAACCUCUGUCUGAGGUCCAAGGUUAACAUUCAUCGGCCGAUAGGCCGCUUGAAAUGCAUAUUGUUGCGGCAACAACACUUGAAUCGCCACGGUCUGUAACGGUGUUUCCUGAAAAGCAUUCUGCCGCCCCCCCCCCCCCGACUGAUUUAAAGUCCGAGGGCCCUGAGGUCCUCCAUCCAUUUGAUCGCUUCGGGCUAAUAUUUUUCCAAUCCGAGCAAUACUCUCAUUCGAGGGCAUGACCGCAGCCAAUAUCGCAUCUAAGCGAGUCGUACUCUACUGACUGUUUUGGUCAAAGUUUUGUAACACUCGUGUCAUUUGACCGAGAGUCUAAGCUAGGUUCAGCUCUUGAGGAGCCGAACAAUUGAAACUUUCGGUUAGUGUUGAUUGAAUUUCACUCAAAUCUUUGGCACCCGUAACUAGGUCAUUCCCAGAAGAUCUAGGAGCAACUCUAUUUCAAAGAUUAAGAGGGCUCUCAUUAGUCUUUUUUUUUGAGUGAUACUCUCAUCGGUCAUUGUAUUUAUAAAAAGACUAAUACCUAAGAGUCCGAUCGAGCGUGCCAAAAAUUGUUGGACUAGAAAUUGAACACGAGACAAUGCUAAUCGGAUCACGCCGCGUUGACUGCGUCAGAUGCUCCCUCGGAAUUUGAAUAGGCUCCUGAUUUGACCCUCGAAUGCGCCACGAUCAAAUCAAAUCAAGCGAUUCGAUUGAGAAGGGAUCGACUCAACCAGGUUCUAUCUCACUUUACUAAUUAAAGCCGAAGACUCAGAAAAAGGGUUUCAGCUGAUCGAAGACCAGUUGGAUGAACCGAAUCAUUUGUAUUGUGGGGAAGUUUGGGCUACAAGUAGAGUUAAGGCUACUCCUAGGAAAAGCUGUAAAUAUUAGAAGAGUAAAAUUACAAGUAAACUACUUUUACACAAGCUGUAAAUGUUGAAAUUAGAAGUAUUGAAAAUGCUAUGGUCUUCUCGUUUAGAGGAAAAAAAGGCUCCUAUUACAGACUUCGAAAUUGCUAUUUAUAGUAAUAUCUCAUCAACCCACAUUUCUGGUCAGCUUUAGUUGAGGGGGGCUGUAGCCAUGAUCAUGUGAAUUACACCCCACUUCUCAACCGUUCCUGCCUAAGGUCUCUCCACUUUCAGGCGCCUUGUUGUCGACUCCUGGUGUACCACGUGUCUUUUUUUUAACUCGUGUGUGGCCUAGGCCGUCUAACUUAUGGCAUGUUAAUUUUUGGCAUCAACACUUACUAUUGCAAUAAAGUUUAACAUUUUAAUUCAGCUGACUAAAGAGUAAUGUGCCGCUGAUAUAGUAGUGAUAUAAAUAUUUAUUAUUACCACAUCAUCACCCACAAUACUAUUGUAGUACUGUCAUUUCACAGCGCAUCAUCAUUUAGUCAAUUAAAUUUUAUUGUCGACCUUAAUUGCAACAACUCAAAAAUUUGAAGCAGAAAUUAUAAUAUAUUAAAAUUUAAGAAUCAAAGUAUCACCAUCUAAUUUUGAAAACCGAAAGUAUAAUUUAGCCUCAUUUUAAUAACAAAUUUAAAAUUUAUUUUCCAACCAAGCAUGGUUGAAGGGGCUUCUUUUGCUGUGAGCAAUGUCAUCUGCGUACGCACAAAAAAAAAAGAGGCAUAAAUCUAAUACCUCUUCAUCAAAUAAUUAAUAUUUUAUACUUAUAUUAUCAAUUUUUUAAAUAUUAAAAAUUUAAAAACAAUUUUAAAGUUAAAAAUUAUGGGCGUAUAGUGCGUGUGUGUAUAUACACACACACACCCAGCUUUAGAUUGAGCUAACAAUUUUCGUUCGCUGUUCGCAGUAUUGGAUCUUGGCGCACUUUAGCGCUCCAAUCAUAAUCGGCCACGUGGGAUGCUGUUGACCGGGGCCCCGCAUCACCCGCCCCAAAAGCAGAAAAGAGACGGAACAGCUACGAAGAGGAUAGGGAUACUGCAAGGGCAAGAAAAGAGCAGAUCAAAUCCCCCGCAUCUUCCCCCGUGCUGUUCUCCCCCAACCCUAUAAGCUCUUUAAUUUCUCUCCUUUUCAUGCUCUCUCUCUCUCUCUCUCUCUCUCUCUCUCUCUCUCUCAUCCCCUUUACCUUUUCCUCUCUCUCUCUCUCUCUCUCUCUCUCUCUCUCUCUUAUUUAUUUCACAUGCACAAGGGCUUGUGCUAAGCACUGAGCAGUAACAAAGCAACAAAGCAGUAGUUAUAUAGUAAGCGUCCCUCGUUUGCCUUUCUUUGACUGUAAAAGCUACAAUCUCAUUAGAGCAACCCCCACCAAUAAUUAAAUACUACCCGAAUGUAUAUAUAUAUAAUAUAUAUAUAUAUAUAUAGACGGAGAGAGAUAGAGAGAGAGAGAGUUGAAUUAGAAUACUAUCGGUAGUAAACGGGCUCCGUUGACACUCAUUUAUUUUUGAUGAUGGAGCCUUCAAAUCGACGAUCGGUAUUGUUGAACAUGAUCUAUACCACUUAAAGUAUUUAGANCUCUCUCUCUCUCUCUCUCUCUCUCAGAGAGAUCUCUUCAUCCAUCCGCCCAUCAUCCGAGUCUAUCUGUACAUAUCCGUUAUUAUUCCAUAGCCCCCUCCCCCCAAUACAUCCUUCAAAAUCCUUUUCUCUUUUCAACAAAAAUUAAAAAAAAAAAAAAGAAAGAAGAAAACUAAAGACUCACUGUCCCUUCCCCUCUUACCUAACAAAAUGAGAAAAACAAAGGAAAGAAGGGGAAAAACUUAAUAAAAAAGAAAAAAAAAGAAAAAGAAAAAGAAAAAGAAAAACCUAAUUAAAAGAAGGGAAAACCAACCAAUUCUCUCCCUCACCAAAUCCAGCAUAUACAACAAACAAACACCUCCCCCACGGCUGAGCUCCAAAAUUCAGCCUCCACCCCAACCAAUUGUAGAAAAUUCGAGGGUCUUUCCUCCAAUCAGUCAAUGCGUGGUGAUACCCUCCCUCCAGAAAGGAGAAAGGGGGGGGGGCUUCCAUCUGAUUGCUUGCUUUCCACCAAUCAAAGAAAAUUGUUUCUUUUUCUCCCCAUCAUCUCACAAAGCCAGCCAGCCAGCCAGCCAGCCAGCCAGCCUUCAAAAAUUAAAUCUUAUCCGCGCUCUCGCCCGCUCCUCCCUCAAUCAGAUCUCUUGAUCCUCUCCUUUGCAUUAUCCGUCAUCCUCGAUGAAGACUCUGCCGAUGAAAUCUUGGAACCUUCUAGAAUAGAGCUUCGGGUCCACUGCAGAAAUGGAAUUGGGGUCGACCUGCAAGGACUUGUAGGCGUGCUCGAGCUUCUUACUAAUGUCAUAGUCUUGAAGGAUGUCGAUUAUCCCAAAGAAGAGGAUUACUUCAUGGCUUCCGCUGCUUUGGUUCGGGGUCAAGAACCCUCCUCCUGUUAGGACCAGUGGUUCGAACUCGCUCCUCCUCGAUGCAUGCUCUGCCCUAGCUGGCAUGUUCGCACCCAAUCUACUCAUUGGCUUUCUGAUCAAAAAAAGAAUGGAUAUGAUUUUGAGUACAUUAAAAUACCAGGAGAUACGCUUGUAAUACGCUAUGAAAAGGAUACGCACUACAAUGGCAUAAUUAAGGAAUGAUGUCCUCAUCGGUUGUAACAGCUAGGGCCCCAAUGAGGCAACAUUUUAUAAAGUGUUAGCCAUGAAGACGGCAAUGGAGCUAACAUCAUGAUGAGCACUGCAUUUUCUUAACAACUAGUGAAAUGCGGGACCAGGUGGGACCACAAGGGAGGCCACAAAUAAGAUGUGCCAAUGCAGAUCCGAUGCCCCUUCUUUCUUAUAUUAUAAAACAGUUCAAAAGUAAUUGCUUAUAACUAGAAGAGAAUAUUAGAAUAAGAAGUGUAAUAAUUGAUUCAGCAUGUUCUUUUGAUCAAGUGCAGUGUCGGACCGCAUAAAAUGAGAACCCAUUUAGUUUUGUUGGGAGUAGCACCGAUGAAUUGACAGGUGAUACCGCUACAAUUUAAAAAAAAAAAAAAAAAAAAAAAAAAAAUUCUAAGAAACCUAUUGUACGUAUCUCGAAAACUAUCAUCGUACAAUAAAAGCUAAACUUGUUCUAAAUGUUGUCGCAGAAUGGCUGGAAAAAUAUUUAAAGUUCUUAUAUCUCUGGCAUAGGAAUCAACAAAACCCAGACGACUUGGAGUCUUCUUUAUAUAAUCAGCAGGGCUUUGAAAACAAAGAGGAAAAAAAAAGGGAAUUGGUCAGCCAAGCAUCGAUAUCACCGGCCAAUGGAGAAUGUACAAACCUAGACUCAUAAAAAACAAUCGGUUUGCUUACUAAGACUGUGGGAUAACUAUGGGCUUUGACUUGGUUUCCACUUAUAAUAUGCUAGAUGUUGAAGUGUACAGUAAACUGAAAAAGAAAUAGACAAUUGUGAAGCUGAAUAGAAAGACUUACUGGCCAUCAAGGACUCGAUCAAUAUCAUACUCGAAGAAGCCCCCACCACCUUGAAAUGAUUCUCUCUUUCCGGAAAAUUCUGAUUAUGAAAUUUUGCUCAGAUUAGAUAAAAGUACAUGAAAGUGUUAAUUACUAUACAGCUUGACAAGAUUUGAAAUAAAAAUCAUUAACUCACUUGGAGAAGCAAUAGCAGAUGGCAGGCCCAUCUUAGUAGCAGAAUUAUCGUCACGAAAGUGAAUUCCCACCAAGAGACUGUAAUCCAUGAUUCCCUCCGAUUCCAAGAACUCGCAAUCCCUCGUGAUUUGUCUGAAUAUAGAGGGAGAAAAUAAGUCAAUUAAUAGGACAAAAGUAUACGUUAACUACACAGCAAGUGUGAUCGAACAAUCAAAAAACUAAACUUACUCUAGAAGCUUUUUGUACCAAUAUCUUUGCAAAUGGAAUACAAAGUCAAGGUCAAGGUCCUUGAGUGUGGUGGUCUCAUCGAUUUCUCCAUCCACCUUAUCUGUUGUCCGACCGUGGGAGGAGCCUUUAAGAUCAAAACGCCGAUGGAUUCGGUACUCUGAGCAGAAUAAAUUGCCCAUUACUAUGAAGCGGACCUGGUUUUGUAGCCAAAGAAAGAACAGAAAACCAUAAGCAACCGCAACAGAUUUUAAUAAUCUAGCACCCACAAUAGAUUAAAAGUUCUUAAACUUAGGCUCGAGCUGAAUAUUAUGCACCUUCUGACCACCAAUUGGCUUCACGCAGUGAACGCCAUAGAACUUUGUUACUAGAGUGUUAUGGUAUCGGCAUACAUGCUGAUAGUAGCUAUGUAGCAUCCUAAUAAGCACCUGCAAAUGAAGGAUGCAAAUUAAUAUCCAGAGGAAUGCUUCUAAUGUGUGCGGAAUAGUGCACUUUUCACUGAACUAAGACAGCAAUAAAUCUUAAAGCAUGACUACACUCAAGAGCAAACGUAUCUCUGCUAAUUAUUGUAAAUGACAAAGAAAACCGACGAAUUAACUACAUCUGAAUUUUGAAUGGAGUAAAUAUAGGAAUCAAAUGCAUCUCCAUCUUGACCAUCUUAGUGAAACAGAGGUAUUUCCCAAAUUCUUAUAUAUAUUGACCAAAAUUAGCCAAAUCACAAAAUAAUAAUAAACUUCAAUAAUCCUUAAACAAAAGCUAUCUCACUCGAGCAAAUAAUGAAAAUAUUGUAACAGCGCCUGCAUCUAUCAUGAGGAUUGCGAGCCAAUUAGAUUUUCCAUUUGUCGAUAGGAUCUGGAGCACUUCAUAUAGAAUUCCUAUACGUAAUACUUGCCCGCCCUCCAGUAAGUUAAAGCCGUGACGAGUACUAACACCAACGGCGGCAACGAGGAAAGAAGAACAAGAUAGUUAAUCGUCUAACCUUCACUUCAGACUUCUUCACAGUCUUAAUCAUGAACCGAUCAUCCUGAGUAAGGUAGAAGAUACUGCCACUCUUGCCCGGCGAGGACAACUCCCUUAGAGCAUCGUUUCCACAAAUCGCUAGCAUGUAAUCCGCCGGAUCCACCGAAAACAACUUUCUCAGGUGCCUGCCAUUCAAAAAUUCAAAGCCAAUCAAUCGUUCCCAAAUCCAAACAAGGAGAUCCGAAUAACAAUAUGCGAUCAAUUCGACUAGUUGGCACCUGAACACCAUGGGGCAGUAAUCUUUCCACCGAAACUCUGGAGAUUGAUGCGGGGGAGUAACCUUGGAUCCCUCCGGCGGGAACCUCGUCCAGAAUUUCUCCCUCGGAUCGAAAUCCGGCAGGGUCAGCUCUCGCAUCGGCAGCGAUGCCGUCUUUCCCACAGAGUAACUAAUUAACAAAAAAAAAAAAAAAAAAAAAAAAAAAACCCAAUAAACUGGUAAAUUCGCAAGCGGGUCUUGGGCAUCGGAAAUAAAAAUAAAUAAAUAAAUAAAUAAAUAAUAAGAAGAAUAAUGGUGAUUCACCUGAUACCCAGUUGGAGGUUGAGCAUGAGCUCGUAGUUCCUGUGGCCCUUGGAAAUCAUCUGGCCCGGCUUCUUCGACUCUGCAGGGGAGAACCAGAACCGGCUGGACCGGGUGCGCUGCAGUGCGGGGCUGCAGCGGGCGCGCAGCGAGGGUGGAAGAGGGGGGGGCGGGCGCGGCGUCGACGGAGGAGGAGCGCUUUCGGUUACUGGAGAGGGCGGAGGAGGCGGCGGCGGCGGGGGGGUAGAAGGUGCCGCAGACGCCGCCGGCCCUGGACCAGGUGCCGACGUAGCAGCUGCCGUCGGGCCAGGUGAAGACGCCGCUGCCCUUGGGGACGCCGCCCUCCCAGAGGCCGUCGUAGCGGUUGCCGUUGGCCCAGAUGAGGACGCCGCGGCCGGAGAUGACGCCGGCGCGCCACUCCCCGAUGUACUGGUUGCCGUUGCGCCACUGCCCCUCCUGCGCGUUGCGGCGCCACGUGCCCUCGUAGUAGUCCCCGUUGGCGUAGUGCUUGGCGCCGUAGCCGUGCUUGCGAUCCGCGACCCAGGCGCCGCGGUAGGUGGCCCCGUCGGGCCCCGUGAAGGUGCCGAAGCCCUCCAUCCGCCCCGAUCGGAACUCGCCCUCGAAGGUGGCGCCCGACGGCCACGAGAACCGCCCCUUCCCGGCCGCCUUGCCCCGCCGCCACUCCCCCUCGUACAUGCACCCGUCCGCCCACACGUACUUCCCCCGCCCCUGCGGCGCCCCCCCCGCGAACCCCCCGCGGUACACGUCGCCGUUCGCCAGCGGCCUCUCCGCGGCGUCCUCGGCCGGCUCCCUCUUGGGGAAGCUUCCCGGGUGGUCGUCCGGCCAGGCCAGGCCGCGCAUUUCGCAGCUGGGAAGAAGCCCUCGCUCAGCUCAGACGCCGAGUCGGAGAACCCGCAUUAGGGUUUUCCCAGAACCCCCACCAGAUCUGCGAGCAGGCGAAGGCCGAGGACGAGAGAGAGAGAGAGAGAGAGAGAGAGAGAUCAGCGCUUCAGAUUCCGAAGGAGACGAAGAGGGCGGGGUCGCAGAGGGNACGGCCAGUGAAUUGUAAUACGACUCACUAUAGGGCGAAUUCGAGCUCGGUACCCGGGGAUCCUCUAGAGUCGACCUGCAGGCAUGCAAGCUUCCCGGGUGGUCGUCCGGCCAGGCCAGGCCGCGCAUUUCGCAGCUGGGAAGAAGCCCUCGCUCAGCUCAGACGCCGAGUCGGAGAACCCGCAUUAGGGUUUUCCCAGAACCCCCACCAGAUCUGCGAGCAGGCGAAGGCCGAGGACGAGAGAGAGAGAGAGAGAGAGAGAGAGAGAUCAGCGCUUCAGAUUCCGAAGGAGACGAAGAGGGCGGGGUCGCAGAGGGGAGGAGGGCGAGGAUAGGUGUGGGAUUUGCUUUGGGGAGAGCUUUUGCUUUGGGCUUCUCAGCUUUGGCCGAUGCAGUGGAGAGAGAGACAGAGAGAGAGAGAGAGAGAGAAAGUGAGAGGGGGGUUGGCUGUGUGUGUGACUAGUGUGUCUGUGUGUGUAAAUAUUAUUAAACAUUAAUAUAAAAAAAAUAUUUUAUUUUAUUUUAUUUUAUUUUAUUUUAUUUAUAAAAUAAAAUAAGGCAGAAAUAAUAAUAAUAAUAAUAAUAAUAAUAAUAAUAAUAAUGGUGACGAUGUGAGUUGAGGAGCUCGUCCUGGAUCCGGAAAAAGACGAAAAUGCCCGCGGGAGGGGGAGGGAACUAGGGAGGGAAGGGAAUCAGGGAUCAAGCCUCAACUCUCGAGGGGACGAAGGGAAACCUGGGAAAGGGGGAGAGAAUUGCCCGCCCGGUUCGGUGCCCAUCCGGGCUCGGGGUUUUUUAAUUUGUUGGGACUUUUGCUGUCCGUGCCGUCAUCGCAGACGGGACGGAUGGUCUUUGUAAGAGUGAAGACAGCGUCACGCUCCCGUAUUACCCAAAAAAUCAAAUUAUUAUCUCCACAACGUUUCGGAAAACCGUUUCGCCACACAUGUUCUUGGGCGGCUAAAUUUAUAAAAACUUUUAAUUCUACAAAUAGCCACCCCGCAUUACUUUACUAUUUUUUAUUUAUAAAAUUAAGUCUGCACAUAAAUCUAAUUUUAUAAAAUACUUUUUAAAAUUUUGUUUUUAAAAUUAAGUCGCCGCAUAUAUAUAUAUUUUCUUUCAUCUCUUUUCAUCGUAAUUGACUUCACCCUACAGUCGGUUGAAGUCAAUUGUACUGUUUUGGAUAACUUGUGUUUUGUCGGUAUUUUUAUUAUGGUAAACCAAACAGUAGAAGUGGUUGUGUACGGCCAAAAACGACUUCACUCAACUCCACUUUUAUCGCAAAAAAAAAAAAACUAAGAGGGCUUUUGGAUCGACGAAUUUCUAAAUCUAAUGUAACUGAAGUGCAGUAGUGUUUGUGUUUUCUUAAAGUGUGAUUUUUUUUUUAUUUGUUUGGACAUAACUCGUACAGUUUAAAAGUUAAAUUCAAUCAUUUCUUCUGUUUAUUUUAGUAUAAUUUGAUGCUUGUGAAAUUAGAUUUUUAGCUUCAUUGUUUGUUUUGAUGUAAGUAAAUAGAUCAUGUUACCUCCGAAAUGUAGUGAUAAACUUACACUUAUAAAAUCCAAUUUAAGAACUAAAUCUCUCAUUAUUAUUUGGAAGUAAUAUUAACCCAUUGUAGAAAAAAAAAAGUAAAUCUAACCCAUUCAAAAGGAAGUAGAAUUUAGGUUUUAAUAUUUAAUAAAUUUUUUUAGAGAAAGUUAAGUGCGGUGGAACUUGAGUUUGAUACUUUAGAAGGAAAAGUCAAAAGUAGGUGAAGCGGAGGCUUAAACAUAACUUAAGUUAAAUUAUUUUUUUGACUUACAAUAAAAUAAAUACCAUAAGUUAUAGAACUUGAGUUCCAUCUCUCCACUUACACCAUCCUUAAAUGUAUUAGGGGGUUGUUUGAUUCAACAUAAUUAUAAAUACAAUAUAGUUAGAUGUGUAUAUAGUUGGAAAUGCAAUAAUUAUAAUUAUAUGCAUCUUAUUUGGUUAAAUCUAGUAGAAAGCGUUGCAAAUAUAAAUACUUCUUUUCGUUGCAUGCGCUUGAGAAGUGUAUUUACGAAUUUAUACCAUUUUAUAUAUAGGGUGGUGGGAUAAACCCUAUGGUGGAAAAGAAAAAAAAAAAUUUAAAAAGUCAUUAGGGAGGUAAAUUUACCUUUGUUUAAAAUUACUGUCUUCAAAUUCUGUAGUUAGAAUUGCGGCGAAUAUAGGCAUAGUUCCAAUUACUACAGUUGAGACUCAUCAUGCAGUUGUAACUACAACAAUUAAAAUCAAAUACAUUAAAAAAAACAUCGAAUUUGGAUUUAUAUGCAGUUAAAACUUAAGUAUAAUAAUAACUAUAUGCAACCAACCAAUUUCUAAAUAAAAGAAUAAUACUGCUUGUACAUACCAUUUAACGAUGUACAUUGUACAUCACUUCAAUUCAAGAGGUAAAAAAUGCUCUCUUGUUUUGUCAAUACUUUUUGUUAAAAUAUUAAAAUUUCAAGGGGUAUGCGAACUCUAGGAUCAGGAUGUAAGAUGUACAAAGUACCCCCGUAAUAGGGGUGUUGAUAAACUGUAUAGAGACUCAUUUAACUUUACUCCAUUUACAAAUAAACAUCUAAACUUUUAAUUGUGAUAAUGAGACCUCUUAAACUUUAUCAAAUAACUUGAUAGAUUCUUUAUUUAUUAAUUACAUAAUCGUUUUGGUUUUAUAUGUUGAAAAUUUUUUAAAAAGUUUAAAAAUGCAAAAAAAAUUUAUUUUUUGUAUCGUGCAAUCUUUUAAUUUGUUUAUAUAUAUAUAUAUAUAUAUAUAUAUAUAUAUAUAUAUAUAUAUAUAUAUAUAUAUAUAUAUUUUAAUUUGUUUGAACUGAAUUAGUCAAUGGUAUUUCAACUUCAAAAUUUAAGCAUGUUACUUAUCUUUAUAGAUUUAGCUAGCAUCGUACAAUUCUCACACAACUAUAAAUUCAUUAAAGUAAAUAACUAGCUUCAAUUUUGAAUUCAAAGUGUUGUUAAUUGACUCAAAUCAAACAUAUUGAAGGAUUAGAAAGUACAACCAAAUUUUAAAGAUUAGAUAGUUAACUGAAAAUUAUUUAUAGUUUAGAUAAGUUCUGUACUUUUUUAUCUGAUACUAAUAAUAACUAUAUAAAUCUAAUUAAAUAUUUAUAUUAACUAUACUUAGCUCAAAUGAUAAAGGGCUUAAUAUUUGGUUUUAAAGGUCGCAAGUUCCCAGUCUUAUUACCUUGACAUUUCCUUUUGCCUCCUUGUAUAUACUGUUUCAAAUCAAAAUGCCAAAUAUAUUCUCAUUAUUUAUUAUAUUAAUUAAUUUACUUAUUAUAUAUUUUUAAAUCAGUAUAGAAGUAACCUAUAACAUUUCGAGAUGUCCAAAGCGGUACUUUUAAAAGAAAAUUAUUUUUUGUACAUCAAAAAAAAAGUGUAAAUCUAAAAGGCCAAUUUGCAUAAAAAAUUCAUUAGUUUUGCGCUUUUGUAAAAGUGGGCCGCUUUUUUUGAUUUUGCAGAUUCGGGCCGAAUUUUUAGCCGCGUGACCAAAAUACUCCUCGUCUACAUUCGCAUCUUUGUAUUCGGUGAGAUAUCUAUACCGUAACCUAUGGUACUGGCGGGCAUUAAAUGCGCCCCUUGCACUUUACGCAAUCUUGUUCUCAUCGGAACCCGAACCAAAUCGGCCCCGCUAUUCGCAAGCCCCAAUGUUUGUUGUUCGGCUUUAAGAAAUUAAAUUUGCUGAAACUACAUGACAAAAACUAUACGACCGACAACAGGAAAAAUAAUGCAACGCGAAGGAGCAACGCGAAGAGAAAUGGUGCAACAACACUUCUAAUGGUGCAUCUUUCGGCUGGUAACAGUGUAAUCUCCACCGCUCGGAUGUGCAACGCUGGCAUUCAACCUUCUCCCUCACCGGAGCAACCUCCUACUCCCCCGUAAGGAAGGCAGUCUUGUACCUAAACCGCAAGAAGCAUAGGGGGAGUAUAAUCCAGCACUCUCCCUUCUCCAUGGAAGCCUGACAAUUUAUUCUAUCACCGUAUGCCAACCGUUGCAUUUACAGAGGAGAAGUGGAAGAAGCUUCGGGGAGGGACAUGACUUAAGGGUUACGAAUUGGAGGAGGGAUGAGGCAGGAGGGAAGAGGGGAACAAGGCGGUCACCAACAAACUGCUACCAAAAGGCCGAGCAAGUAGUGCAACAACAGUGCAAGCUAUACAAAAAGAGUACAAAUUGUUAUUUCUAACUUGCGCUGUCGCUUAGGUAGUAGUGCAAAAAAAAGGAAUGAAAUGGUGUAACGUUCACCCAAUCAGUGCAAUGCAUAAUAGAACAUGUUGCAACAAGUCUACAAGCAAUCCAAAAAAAAAAAACUCUCCCCUCAGUACAAUUUGUAAUAUACACCAAACUAGUGCAAUUUUUUUUUUCUGUAUUUGCUGAUGAUAUGAAGGUAAUAGUGCAAAUAUGUUCGUAAAUGGUUUUACGACGAAAAUAGUGCAACAAUCUUUCAUAAAUAGUAUAACAAGUCCCUAAGCAGUGCAAAUUGUUCUCUGUAUUUGGUGCUUGCAUGAAGUUAUUGUUAAGUCUUGUGUGUUGGUAAGUUUCGUGAAUUGAGUCGGAGUCUUGAAGAAUCGGAGCGGAUUGUAGAAGAUCGAAGAAUCCAAGACUUUGAAGAAAGCGGAAAUAACUCACCGCAUGAAUCACGAUGCUAAGGUAAGAUUUUAAUUCACGGUAUGGUGAUUCAUACCUAGUUAUAGAUAUUAGAAUCAUGAAAAUCAAAGUUUAAUAGAUUAGAAAGUGCUUUGGAACUUUGUGAAACCUGAAACUUGCAAAAUCUGAAAAUUGCACUGUGUACGGGUACACAUUGAAAGUGUACCGGUACAAACUGUGUACGGGUACACAUUGAAAGUGUAUCGGUACAAACUGUGUAUGGGUACAACCAUCAACAUGUUACCGGUUACAAGGCUGUAUUGGUUUUCUGUUCCGUCAUCGUUUAACCGGUAACAACUUGAAAGUGUACCGGUACACAAUGUAAAAAUUCCGAAAACUUUCUAAUCCGACUCUAAUUGAUUUUAAAGUCUAUAAAUAAACUAUUAGGGGUCUCUAACAUAUUAAGCAUCACGAAAAUAUAUAUUUGAGAAACCCUAGAGGCUAGGAUUUCGUGCUAAACCUAUUUUCUUCAUAAUAGCCUCUUUUAGGUCAAAUCGAAAGAUUGUAAUUUGAUAUCAAUAUGUCGAUUUGAUCUACACUUCGCUUGGAGUUUUCUCUGGCUUUUCUACGACACUCUAAGCGAAGGAUCACCAUAAUCAUGAUGCUCUUCAUGAACGGCGUCGUGGUUUCGGCGUGAACGAAGGCGGUUCGUGGAUUCGGAUUGUGGGCUCGUGGAUUCGAGUGUCGUCGUGGAUUCGGCGUGAUCAAGCCUUUGUGGAUUCGAAGUGUGGGCGUUUCGUGGAUUCGGAACGUGGCGUUCGUGGAGUCGAACGUUGGGCGUGGACAACCCGUUGGUGUGCGCGAGGUCUGGAGAAGAUAGAAAAGAGGUUUUAGUCCGUGGAUUCGGCAAAUCACCUUGUAAUCUUUUAUUCUUAGGGGAUUGUUAUCGCGUGUCGGUCCCAUGGGUGUUUUACUCCAAGUUGGAGUUUUUCCACAUAAAUCUCGGUGUGAUUUUUAUUUUUCGCAUUUGUCAUGCCCCGCCGCGAAGCCCCUACCAAUUUGGCACGGUUCGGGGGCGGCGAGCGGACCGACGAACGGACAGCACCUCCCCUGUCCGCCCGAGGCUCAACAACGGGAAUGUGUACAAGAAUUUACCCAGGAAUUCAAAUUCUAAACAUACACAUUCAACGGGGCACAAACAGUUCCAACAACUAAGAGCAAGUGAUCCAUAAGAUAUACAAGUGAAAUAAAGAGAGUACUUUACUAACUAUUACAAUAGUUGCAUUCUUUUUACGUUUACAUCUUUUCCCCAAAAUGAGUACAUUUGCUCAUCAAAAUACAUAGCUCUCCAACCUCACCUACAUGAAUCUCUCUCAAUACAUAGGUGUGCUAAUGCAGAAAGAAAAGCUACUAUACUACUACGGUCUCACUGAUCGGACGCGAUGCCCUCGCUGCUGUCCUCGCUCGGUAGACCUGUACCUACCACUGGAAAUAGAGUGGGGUGAGAACUAUUUUCCAUAGUUCCCAGUGGGCUCGGCCGCCGACUCCGCCGGUCUCCCUACUAGGUCCAAUGGGGCACAAGUAACAAUAAGUAGACAGAUAGUGUAACAUAUCACUUUCCCGUAAAUCGUGCCGAGUUCCGUCGAAAUGAGCGUAACGCAGAAAGGAAUGAGCUACUAUAGGCUAGAAGUGAAUUGGAGCCUAUAUGUAGGGUAUAGAGGGACCCGAGAGAGUGAAACUGCAAUCCUGGAGAAUUUCCAGAAUUUUUACUCUCGAGGACCGGUCCCUUGGGUGAGAGACCGGUUCCUGAACGUGGAUCAAUCGAGCGAGGGGAAAAAUCGGCUAAGUCCUGGAAACUGAGCUCUCGGGAACCGGUCCCUAGGUGAGAGACCGGUCCCUGGAGACCGGUUGCGCCGGGGUGAGACCGGUCCCCUUUUGCGCAGAUUGCAGGACAGCUCUCGGGAACCUGUCCCUGAAGGGGAGAGACCGGUCCCCGAGCCCGAAAAUGCCCAGUAAGGGCUAGUUGCAAAAGUGAAAAGUUGAGGGGUUUAAAUGCAAAUAUGGCAUGUGAAGGGUUAUUUGAGCUAGGGCAUGAGUGAGAACUCAUUUGUUCUCACUCUCACUCUGUCACGCCCCGGGACAUAGCGGAAGCCCGCCCGGCGCGUGUCCAGACCCGCCAUACGUCUAAAACAUAUAAGGCGUCUAUAACAAAACAAUAAGUGGGACAAUAAAAAGGAAACAACUAGAAGUAUCAGAGCAAUAAAUAUCAUCUAGAAACUGAAGCAAUGGGAAGAGUAGAGAGCUAAAAUCACUAAUAAACCAUAAAGUAAUACAAGCCAAGAUCCAAAUACAAGGACUAAAAGAGUACAUAGGUGGUCUCUAUACAUGGUAAACAAAAUCUCUCGCUCUCCCAAAACAUAAAAAGAGGGAAAACCACCUAAGAGUAAGAGUGAAUCCUCGCUAUCUAGCUAGCGAUCCCCUUGCCGCGGUCCCGUGCCUCCGUUGGUACAGAGGGCUCUGAAAGGAAAACAUAAAACAGAGGACGUGAGAACUAUUAAAUAAUAGUUCCCAGUGGGCAAUUACUGACUUCAGUGAAUGCACCACUAGGCCCAAAACUAAGCAAGUAAGGUAAAUAAAGCAGGUAAGAAUAAUAUGAACAAUUAACUUGCUGAAGUGGAAGCUCAAUAUAACAUGAAGUCACUACUUUCAUCAGUAAUAACCUACCACAUGAUCUCUACUUAGCAUGAACUUGCAUAAGUAAUAAAAGUAACUACUACAAGCAUGUGCACAAGAGUAUACGACAUGUAAAUGCAUAAGUAUGCAACUAACCAAUAUCCACAAUGUAAAUAGUAAAGAUGUCAUUGUUUACUAUUCUAGUCAAUGUCCAAAAGGUACAAUAUGUCACCAGUAACCCAAUCCUGUGGAAGCUACCCGUAGGUAGUCCGGCCUGCGCCGUGCAAACAAUGGCCCCGUGGUAAUCAACAUCCCCACUCUAGGAAUGAGCCUCCCCCACAGCAUCCCAUUUUGGCGCCAAUCCCGCAGGGGCGAGCAUAUGUCGCGAUGGCUAUCUCCGAAGUGCCGACUUGUAGGGAGCGACCCUUACAAGUAUGUGCGAAUGAGCAUAAGGGCAUGCAAGCGAAUAAGUCCGUCUCAGGUCUCAGUGGUUCAUCACUGUUUCAUCGGAUCUAAAAUCCAGAAUACAACACAUGUCCCAAAGGCCCGCCUCUAUGUCAUCAUGUCUGAAGCACGGAAUAUAGUAACAGUCUCGAUGGCCUAUCUCUAUGUCAUCAUGUCUAAAACAUGGAAUAUAGCAGAUUUCUAGCGGUCUAUCAUCAUGUCUCUAAGUUGCAGUUCAACAGUUUUCUAGUUCAAGUGCCCCUUUAUGACACUUUUGCCUUCGAAGUCAUAGCAUGGCAAUUAGGUUCAAGAGUACAUAAUACUGGUCAUUUUCCACAUAAGAGACAUAUUUCCAAGUUCAAAUAGAGAACACGUAGCACAUGCAUGCAUACUCAUAAGGCUCUACUACAUAGAGUGAAGUUUUCAUGAUACAUAAUGCAUGUGUUUUAAGCAUUCCAAAAUUUAUAUAAAUUCUAUUCUUUAUGAAUAUGCAUGCGUUUAUGGUAUACGAAAACAAUAACUACGUAGGAAGCAUUUUCCUCCUAUAUCAAUGAAGCCAAACCCACCAACGACAACGGAACCCUCCGUUUGCUCCGACGAGGGUGUCCACCAGUCUCCUAGCACCCUAAAGGUGGUAAAAGAAGAGUCAAACCACUAAACGAUCCAUCUCUUAGAUCAAACUUUAACAACAUCACACAAAGGGGAAAAACUCACCUAUAUGGUGAAAUCCUCUCUUGAUCUCCCAAAGAGAGUGAAAAUCCUUCUAAUCCAACCUAAACAAGGAUUCUAAACCAAUCAAUUUGGUUCAUAAAGGUUUAAAUCCAAAACCCCUAAAUAAAACCCUAAAAUCCAAAAUCUAGGGUUUCAUCUCAUGAAACCCCUCAAAACAAAGAUCAAAGAGUAGGAAAGUGCUACUCACCUCUCAAAUAGCUCCAAACUAGGUCCAAUCCAAAUGGUGUUGAAGAUCUCCUCUCAAACAAGCUCAUUUCCAAGCUCCAAGUCUUCAACCAUGGAGAAACCCACAAAAAGCAAAGAAACACGAAGGGGAGGAGAUCAAAACAAGCUAAAAUCCAUCAAAAAUGGAAAGGUACCAAAGGGGGAGAGUUCUCACCUUGAUCUCCACUGAACUAGGGCUCAAAACCCUGUCUAAGGGGGCUGGGGUCACUUAUAUAGGUGUUGCAACAAUUGCAAAAACUCCCCCCCACGAAACAGCCCAAACUGCAUUGUGUACCGGUACACGGAUUUGUGUACUGGUACACAACCUGCGAACCAGCCCAACCCGAGCCUCGGGUUGGCGCACUGGUGGCCAGCGGCGAUGGCUGUACCGGUACAACCAUCACCGCGUACCGGUACGCCACCCUGCAGAUAGCCACCUGAGAGCACACAUCCAAAUUUUUGGGUUUUGGUGCCAAGUCUUGAACCUCAAUUCUCGGGACUCGAACCAUAGGUCGGAACACUAUCUACGACCCUCCACGAAGUGUGGAAAAAUUCGAAACACAAAUCAACACUCGAACCUCACUAUUUGCGACGGUUCGGUGUGUUACACACUCUCAAACCUUCCCUCGCUCUCUCUAAAAAUCCUUCUCUUCUCUCUCCCUUUCUCUCUAGGGCUUGGACCAAGGAGGGUUUGGAGGAGAAAAGCUUGGAGAAGAAGCUCUCCAAGGUGAAGACCAAGCUUGAUCAAGGCUUUGAAGGAAAGAUUUGGACUCCAAAGGUGAGUUCUCGUGGAUUUUGAACUAGGGUUUGAGUUUCUCCUUCUAGUAUACUUCUAGGAGAUAGAUUAGAGUAUUUUCCCCCAUGUUUCAUCAAGCUAGGGGCUUGAUUGGAAAAGAUGACAUCGUGAGGGACCUAUAUUUAGGGUUUUGUAAUUUUGAGGUUCAAACUUAGAUUUGAUCUCAUUUUAACCUAAUUGGUAGAUCUACGAACGCAUCGGUGUACUUAGUUCGGCGAUACGACGAGCGUGCGCGAAGAUAUUGGAAAAAGAAGCCGAAAUAGUACAGAUCGUCGUAACUCGCGGCGAACAAGUCUAAAAAUCGCGAAAUCUGAACCACGGCAUCCUUGUAACACAUAAAGGUGGGGGGUGCUAUCCGGAAACACCGGAUCUCUUUCUAUGUCUAUGUCCUUUCUUUGAGCAUGUUGGUAUUAUAGCAUUUUUGCAUGUAGGGUAAUGAACGGCAUAUGUUGGUUGUAACAAUUAUCUGCGCAAGAUUAUUGUCAUGAUAUAGAACUAUGUGAACAAAGAUAGUAAAAGACCCUAUAUGCAUGUGAAUGUGAGAAAUGACUGUGACAGUAGUAAACAAAGGUGACAUUGACAUUAGCGACUGAAAUGACAUCGAAAAGAGAAUAGUUCAACAAGGUUUAACCUGUGGGACAUCAUGUGUACUGUGGCAUUAGGAUCGCUGUGACGUUGGCAAAUGGAAGUAUGAAUAGGUAUUAACCAUUCAUCAGCAUUGAGAUAGUGAGAGUUGUGACAGGUUGGCCAUACCUUCUCAAAAUUUGAGGAUGGGAUCAUACUCACAUGUAUUGGUUCCGGCUUGUGAGAGGUCGCUCCUCCACGAGCGGUGUACUCCGGAGAAGAAAAGCACCACGGGUGGACGUGCCCGGCGAAGAUCCUUCGGGUGGUCGUGCCUUGUGCCUCGCCCGUUAGAUGGAUAUGUGGACUGUUAGACCUAGUGGGCGAAUCGGCGUGGUCGGCGGCCGAACCCACUGGAAACUUCUUCUAGUUCUCAUUACCACUAACCCUGCAGAUCCGUACGCGAGCGGGGCGGCGGAGGAUCGGGGCAAGGGAGUCGCGCCAUAGAUAGCGGCCUCGGAGUUAUAUAGGCAUACCCUACACUCGGUGUACUCAACUUUUGUAUGUUGAAAUUGUAAGGUGAACAUGAUGUAAUGUAAAGAUGAUGUAAUUUAUAUUUUGGUUAAAGGAAAUCGUGAUGUAAAUGAAUGUAAUAGACUACUUGUGUUUGAUUCAAAUGUAAUCAAAUGACAUGUAUAUCGAUUGUUUAGUUAGUUUCGAUGCUUUCACUGUGAUUGUUGUUUACCCUCGUGCAAAUCUUAUAUAUUCCGCAAUUCUCUUUUGACUUGCUUGUAAUAUACUUGUUGUUAGAGCCUUGGGCAGACAGGGGAGGUACUGUCCAUUCGGCGUCUGUCAUGUGCUCGAAUCCGACCAAAUUGGUGGAGCUUGGGGCAUGACAGAUAUGGUGGUAUCAGAGCGAUGUGAAAGCAAAAGUCUAGGAUGGACUUAGGGACCUUAGGAUUGGAGACCUUAGGAAGUAGGACGCGUAUAACGUGGACUUGGAUAUGCGAAGGCUAAUGGAUUGGGUUAUUGUGGAACUUCUCUAAACGGAAAUAGGGAUGGAUUCAAGGGAACGUUUGUUUCUUUCUGAGGUGUGAUGUGGGGCGGACGACCACAUAAUGCCAAGAGUAGAAAAUGAACGUACUUGAUCGCUUUCGCUUAAUUGGGUAGUUGUUUGAAACGAGUAAGAGUCUCGAAUGUCGAGUGUUAACGCGUGCGUUUCGUUUCAGGACGGAUGUCACCAAGACGCUAUACCCGACGGACCGCUCCGGCAUCACUUGAUGAGGUGCUAGAGCAGGUUGGAUCUGAUGAAGUUCGCGAGUUGCAGGCCCAAGUAGCAGCUCUGGCUGGGGCUAUGCGAUAGCAGGGGGAGCAGAUAGGACGGCUCCAUGAGUUGGUGGCUCGACAGGCGGCGGCGGCUGCACCUGUACCUCAGGACCCACCUGCACCUGUAGCACGUACGCCGAUGGCGGCGGCAACGGUGAUGGCUAUUCCUCCGACAGCUUCAAGUUCUUCGGCUCCUAUUCCGGAGGUACUUGAGGCCGAACAGGAGCGGUCGUUGGCGGUGUUGACGGCCUUCAAACGGUUCAACCCUCCGACCUUUUUGGGUGAUGUGAAAGACCUAUGGUUGAUGGAGGCCUGGCUUUCUGCGAUGGAGGCGUUGUUCGAGGAUAUCUACACCCUCGAGAAGAAUAAGGUUCGGUUGGCGGGUCACUGUUUAGAGGGGCCGGCUCGAUCGUGGUGGACGAGAGUGAAGAGUGGUCGGUCCUUGAAUCCGGCUACUAUGACUUGGGAGGCGUUUCGGGAGAUUCUGCUAAUGGAGUACUUUCCGGAAAGUGACAAGCGGAAGAUCAAGGAUGUAGCACACUUGACUUUUGCAAAUUGCGAGGUUCGAGUGUUCGAUUUGUAUUCCGAAUUUUUCCACACUUGGUGGAGGGCCGUCGAUGGAUAUACGCCUAAUAAGUCAUCUUCAGACUUUUUGGCAGAGAGUCUGGAUUUUUACUCAUCGGGGACCGGUCCCUGAUAGAGAGAGACGAGUCCCUAGUGUGAACAGUGCUGGUAGCGGCGACGCACCUGGUCACCUGGCAGUUGAGACCGGUCCCGAACGCGUCUGCGCGGGGAGAGCCGUCCCGUCAGGGAGAGACGGUUCCGAACGUUGAAUUUCGGGGGCAGGUGAAGCCGGGUCCAAGGCGGGGAGACGGUACUCUGGGCGAAACUGCCAGUCCGGGCUGAUGUAAUUUAGAGUUUUUUGAGGGACUAGCUGAGAUUUUGUUCCUUAGAGGCUAUAGGCAGCCUUCUCCCUCUCAUUAUUUUCUCUUCCCGCACUUUCUACACUUCUAGAGAGAAGAAAGGGAAGAGAAAGAAGGACGGAAGAGAGGAGGAGAAGGUUGCAUAGGGCCUUGAGCACCAUCUUUUCUCAUUUUCACCUUUUGGAGGCUUGGAGCUUGCGGUUGGAAGCUUUGUGGAGUAUCAAACUUAAACCUACUGUUCUAGCUUGGUUUGGGUUUCUUAGGUUGGUAGUUGUAAUCCCAUUUUGUACAUGCUUUCCUAGGUUUUACUAGAUGACCUUAGUUUGGGAUUUAGGGUUUUAUUUGGGCGGUUUUUGAAUGUGGGGUUUUGGAACAAUUGAUGGGCGUUAGAACUUUUGUUUAGGUUUAGAUUGGAAGGACUUUAACUCCCAUUUGAGAAUCGUUGAGAGCCUUCUUCGCAAUCGGUAAGUUAUUUUCCAAACCUGCUUGAGGAGCUUUAAUGAUUUGAGUCUAUUUGCUCUUUGCUUGUUUGGAGACCUAUUUUGAUGUUUCUAGGUACUAGGAGGUGUGGAUAUUCUUCAGCGAAACAAAGAAUGAUUUUGGUGGUUUGACUCAUGGAAAUAGGGCACAAUGAAGCAGGCCCCUAUGGCUCUUCUAAAUUUUGUAAAAUAUUUUGACAUGCAAAUUCAUGACUAAAUAGAUCAUGUAAUUUUAGAACACUUAAUAUGCUGCCUUAUUAUAGGUAAAUUUGUCUUCCAUGAUAGUAGAGCUAUAUUGUAGAUUUGCAUGCAUUGUGAAUAGUUGCUUGGUUUUACAAGUUGGAACAUGCUCCUGCGUAGAGUGAGGUGUAAUUUAGAGUCUUUGAACUAUUAAUGCCAUGCUUGAACUAGUUGAACCAAAGGUGUAUCAAGGGGCAUUGAAAUAGUAAACUAUUAAAACUGCAACUAGGGACAUGUUGAUUAGGACACUAUUAUAUUGCUAAUUCAUGUUAGGACAUGAUGACAUAGAGUUAGAUAGGCCAUUGAUAUACCUUGAUAUAUUUCCAUAUGUUAGACAUGAGGUAUUGGCUUGAGACGGAUUAUUGCGGUUGCUUGCCAUUUGUGCUCAUUCGGCACAGUCUUGUGAAAGGGCGCUCACCUACAAGCGGCACUUCGGAGUAUAGCCAUCGCGAAGAUGCUCGCAUGCGGGAUUGGCGCCGAAGUGGAUGCCGUGGGGAGGCUAUCCUAGAGUGGGGGAUGUUGACUACACGGGAUUAGCACGGCCACGGCAGACAUCCUUCGGGUGGUCUUAUAUGUUGAGGACUUAGGACGAAUUGUGCUUUGUUGUGAACUUUUAAAACUAUUAUAAGCUGGAUUGACUAGAAUUAGUAAACAAUGACAUCCUACUAUUUGCAAUAGUGGGAAUAUGGAUUUGGUUGCAUUUCCUACGUAUGCAUUAUAUGCCUCUAUGUAGCAUUCAUGAUAUAGUUCUUUGAUUACUGUAUGCCAAUCAGUAUGUGGAACUCUUAUGUUUAUGUAAGUCACUUUAGUUCCUUUUUAUUAUUCUAUGUUAGUCACGGAAUCUUUUGGUAGCUAUUGGCACUUUGUGAGCGAGUCACUGAAGGUCGUAAUUGACCAUGGAAGCUAUUGUGUCUUAAUUGUAUUCACGCCCUGUUUUUGUGGUUUUACUUUUCAGAGUCUUCGCACCGGCGAAGCACGGUGAUCGCAAUGGCAGUUGGCAACGCUUAGAUAGACUACGAGGAGGCGGAUUCUUUGCCUAGGUGUUUGCUCUUCUUUUUGUAGUUGGGAGGUGAGAGGAUUUAUUUCAUUAUAGAGAGCCACCUAGUGUACCUACUUUUAGCACUUGCAUUGGGAUUUCCUAUUGUAUUUAUUUUAUGUCUGUAUUUAGUGGGGAUUGUACAGUUUAUCUUACCCUGGUUGUGCAUUUAGACAUUUAUUAUGCUGGCUACUCUAGAUGUCUUUUAUUAUUGCUUUCAUUAUUGUGUUUUAGACGCUUUAACGUUUUAGAGAUAUGGCGUGGUCUGGGCACGUGCCGGCAGCUUCCGUUGGGUCCGGGGCGUGACAGAUUAAUUUGGUUCAGAGCUAGGGUUGGAGUCUUAGGGGACCUAGUAAAACUUAGGCGUGGAACUAUAGGAAUAGCUCAAGGAGAACGAAUGUUAAUUAGACUCUUUGUGAAGCGAGUUAUGAUUCGCGGGAUAUUAUGAUACUCUAAAGGUUAGAGUUGAUUGAGUGUUGGCCUUGUAACUUCGCGGAGGGUUACGUUCGCGGCCGACAACGUAACAUCGGGAGUUAGUGGUGAAGAACACUUCUUUACUUUCGCAUGAUUUGGGGUUUGUCUUUUGAGCGGGGAUGCGAUAGCGUGAGUAUUUCUAACUUGCGCUUUUAUGAUGUUGUAGUGACGAUGCCGAUUACUCGCUCCCAAUCUGCCGGGGCGGACAAUGCGGCAAACUUCGAGGAGGUCGAGACCUCCGCUACCUCCGGAUCCAGUGAGGUUCGUGAGUUGAGGGGCCAGCUUGCUGCCCUCACUGAUUUGGUCACCCAGCAGGCAGAGGCGGCCCGACAGCAGACGGAGGCAGCGCGCCGACAGGAGGCGCUGAUGAAGCGUCUGGAGGAUCUACUAUUGCAGCAGGCGGCAGCUUCCAGGGAGACUCAGGCCCCUACACCGCCGGCACCAGUUGUGGACGUUGCACCGAGAGCGCCGUCCCCCGCGCCCAGUUCUUUGCGUGCGGCGCCUGCGGUCGCACCCCAGGAGGAGGUUUUGGCGGCACCACCUGUUGCAGAGGCCUCCGGUUGGAGCUGCUUUUCCUACUUUGGUAGAGGGGGCGGAGCGAGACAGACUGAUGGAGCGCCUCAAUGAGUUCAGGAGGUGCAGCCCUCGAGUUUUUGACGGUAAGAAGGUCGACCACUGGAUCGUGGAGAAGUGGUUGAUGCACAUGGAAAAGCUCUUCCGCGACACCUUCGUGGAGGAGAGGGACAGGGUGUGGCUCGCCACUCACCACUUGGACGGCGAGGCCUACCGCUGGGGGUUGCAUUUUCAGGAGCACCCCAGCACUGACUUGGCAUCUAUCACCUGGACGAUGUUCAAGAAGCUUCUUCUGGCGCACUAUUUUCCAACCAGCGUCAAGAGGAAGAUGGAGCAGGAUUUGCGCAGCUUGCGCCAAGGCGACCGGACCGUGGCCGAGUACGAGAGGGAGUUCUCUCGGCUUCUGCAUUGCGUGCCCUUCGUCGUGCGGGACGACGAGGACAAGGCCCGCAUCUUCGAGCGAGGGUUGCGACCGUCGAUUUCCGGUUUGUGCAAUCCUCUAACCUCCAAACCUACCGGGAGGUGGUGGAUCGUGCGCUCAUUGUGAAGAGCGGCGCGACAGAGGUCCAGGAGCAGCGUGAGGCUCGGGACAGAGGGAAGGCCAAGAGGCCUGCUGCUGAGGGUGCGAGCCAGACGCACUCUAGGAGGCCGCCGAAGCAUUCGAGGAGCCAGCAGCGUGGGCGUGGCUCGGCGACUCACCGAGGAGGUUCUGACCGACGCCGAUCUCCCCAGUGCGUGAUCUGUGGUGGCCCCCACAUUCCACCGCAAUGCCCGCAGCGGGGAGGGAGGUGUUUCCAGUGUGGCCAGGAAGGCCACUUUCGGACCGAGUGCCCAAGGGGAUCUUCACCAGCACCGUCGACUGCAUCGGCACCGGCUCUACCAGCCGCCAGCCAGGGGACUCCAUCGGCACAGUAUCAGUCUGGGCGGCCACCCGUCCAGCGCCAGAGCGAGGGAUCUCGACAGGCCACGAGUGGGGGCAUGUACGCCGCUUAGACCGAGGAGGCGGCAGUAGCCCAGGAUGUGGUUGCAGGUAUCAUUUUACUUGAUGGCAUUAGAGUACGUGCUUUAUUUGAUACCGGUGCAUCGCAUUCAUUCAUAGAUCGGCUGUUUGCCGAGUUGCAUGGCAUCCCUUUGGUUUCUUUGUUGCAUACGGGACAUGUUGUUGUACCCGACCACAUUUUGGAUAUUAGAGAGUAUAGCCCCAGUUGCCCUAUCCGGGUAGGAGAUUGGAUUAUGCCUAUAGAUUUGCUAGCUUUGCGCAAGCUGGGGGAUUUUGAUGUGGUCUUGGGCAUGGAUUGGUUGACCAAGUAUUAUGCCACGAUUGAUUGCAAGAAUCGCACGGUUACUUUUAGAGAACCUGGGCAGACUGAGGUGAUAUUUAGUGGAUGCCGGAGUUCGCUGUUUGCGAUGACGAUCAGCUCGUCUCGAGCUAGGCAGCUGAUUAGCAGAGGUUGCGUAGCCUAUUUGGCUAGUGUUGUGCUGANNNNNNNNNNNNNNNNNNNNNNNNNNNNNNNNNNNNNNNNNNNNNNNNNNNNNNNNNNNNNNNNNNNNNNNNNNNNNNNNNNNNNNNNNNNNNNNNNNNNAGAGCUGAGGUCAGUAAUUGCCCACUGGGAACUAUAAAUUAUAGUUCUCACGCCCUCUUUUUCUCGAUGUUUUUCAGAGCCUUCCACGGAGGGUGAGGCCAGGGAUCGCGGGAAGGGAGUUGCCUCAAGCUAGCUUCCUUUGAGGACGAGUUGCUAGGUGGUCCACCUCUCGAUUUAUAUUUCUUUUGCGAGAGGUUGAGGAGUUUACCAGUGUAUUAGAGACCACCAUUUUUGUACUAGAGAUAGAUAUUGUACUGCUUAUGAAUUCUUUUAUUGUCUAGCUUUACUUCUUUACCUUGGUGUAGAUGUUAGAACUUCACUCGCUCUGAUAUCGUUAGCUGCUAGUUAUUUCACUUCUUCUAUUUGUUCUAUUACUUGCUUUUACUUCCGCUUUUGUUGUAGACGCCUUAUAUGUGUUGACAUAUGGCGGGUCUGGGCACACUACCGGGAAGGCCUCCACCGGUCCCAAGGCGUGACAGCCGCGCUCUAACCACAACAGUCAACAGUAUGAAAGCCUCGCUCCCCCCCGAUGUAUAAUCCUGGCUCAGCCAAAACUCAUCUCAUACUUCCGGCUGCUAAUUGGCUCUGAUACUAACUGUGACGGCCCCUUCCCAAGUGGUCACCGAUCCUAGGACUACUCUCGUCCUAACUCACUUAACUCUCUUAACUUCUUGGGCCUUGCCACCACUAAAAAUGCUUAAGCCGGGUUAAGAGUUUUGUCCUAUUAUAUCUUAUAUAUAGGACUAUCUCGGGUCUCACAAAAACUUGAAACAUGAAACUUGAAACUUGA
rnacentral:lncRNA from 1 species